AGAUUAUAUGUUGAACUGCUGCAGCAAAAACCUUUCUGAUUGACAUUUGAAUUUACUGAUUCCGUAUAAAUAUGUAACAGCUUAUCAGCAAUUUAUUCCCUCUCUUUGCUGUGUGGAACAUUUAUUUUAACAAACUGUAAUGGAUGCGUUUAGAUUGAACAAUCAACCAUCUCAUGCGAAUGUCUAGUUGCUGUUUGGUUGGCAUGCCUUGUAUCUUCAUUGAUCAGGCCUACAUUUCUUAACAUGUUCAAAAUCUUUAUUCAUUCAUGUUUAAUAAAAUCUCAAAUGAUACAAAUUUCUUUCGUAUUCCGUGAUCAACGUGACAUGAAUUAGCUAAACCUCCAUACAGGUCUGGGAUGUUUGAGCAUAAAAUUAAUUACUAAUUGCAAACCCCACCAGGUUCGUUGCAGUGUGGUUGAGGAGGUAUGAAUUUUGAAGGGUAUCAAGAGACGGACCAAUAGUUUUUUUUUUUUUGAACUCAGAGACGGACCAAUAGUUAAAAGCUAUAAAAUACAUGAAAGUAAUCACUCACUAGAAAGCAUCCUAGAAGCGUAACAGUAACUACACACUAACUGUUCCUAUCCCUAAACAACAUGUCUAUGCAAAGAUAAUAAUGAUUUGGAUAACAUUUUUGUCUUAAUCAUCUGAUUACCUGUCACAUGCAGGGCUAAGCUAAUGAUAUGCCAUUGGAACUUGAAAGGAUUCAGCAUAAUUAAAGAUAAAUAUGACAUUAAUGUCAAUCUAAUGCAGAGUCUACAAAUUCAAACUGGUGCCGGGGCAUACGAUGAAGAAUAGGAUGAUGACAAUUUUGUGGAUGGAACAUGGAUUGAAAAUUUCGGUUUCAAGACAAACUGAGAAUUCAAGGGACAAAUAAAAUCAAAUGUAAAUUUUGUUCAUUUUUUUUCUCUUUAUAGCUAUACAAAUUCAACAGAGAGCAGGUCCAAAUUGCGAGUACAAAAUUGUCAUACCAUCGUGACUUGAAUAGAAACUAUUAGUGAUCGAAUACGAUUAACAAACCACUGAGCCUAGCUCCAUGGCCAUCAAGGAGUGACUCAAGUCCUUCCUUGGGCUGUAGAUGGCGGGUUCAAACCCCACCUGUAGUAAAAAAAAUCCAUGGCUCCAUCUUUGGUCUAGUCAGAUUUGCACACCUACUAGUUCCUAACACACAAGCCUCCUUAGGCUCACUCUUCCUAUAGAUUAAGAUAGAAUAACAAAAUAGUACUCCCUCUCUCCUAUUUUGAUAGUUUUAGUUUUUUUUUAAAUAGUUUAAAAAUUUAAUUAACUUUAUCUAAAGAGUGCAUCUAGUUUAUUAUUUCCUAAGAUACCCCUUACAUUAACAUUAAUAGUAUAACUAAACAUUAUACCUUUACAUUAAUGGUAAUGGUAACAACAAUAUUGAUGAAAAAUUGCACCAUUCAAGGCAUGAAUCGAAACAAUUAAUGAAUAAAGUAGGUUAUAUUCACUGAUAAUAAAGUACAUUAAAUAAGGACAUUUUAGAGAGGUUAAAAGUUAACUAUAUUUUUUUAACUGGAAAGUAGAAUAUAAUUUGGGACGGAUAAAAAAAGGAAAACAAGAAUAUCAAAAUGGAAAGGAGAGAAUAGUAUUUUGACAAAUUCUCAUCAAGGGUGUUGCGUGUCAUUAUCAGCAACAAUUAGAACUCAAUUUUAACUCACUAAUUGUAUAUUAUGUAGGCAAAAGUAUAAGGUUCUUUGAACUCGACUUAUUUUUAACUGGAAAGUAGAAUAUAAUUUGAGACGGAUAAAAAAAGGAAAACAAGAAUAUCAAAAUGGAAAGGAGAGAAUAGUAUUUUGACAAAUUCUCAUCAAGGGUGUUGCGUGUCAUUAUCAGCAACAAUUAAAACUCAAUUUUAACUCACGAAUUGUAUAUUAUGUAGGCAAAAGUAUAAGGUUCUUUGAACUCGACUUAUUUUUAACAAGUAAUGGAGGCACAAACAAUUAGUAAGACCUUAGUUAUACAAGGCCACUUUUACAAAAAGCCGAAGUUAACAUGCUUACUAGCAGUGCAUGUUUCACCUCCUUCUUUUGGAUUGGACUAUUUAACACUGGAAGUAAGGACAGCUCUGUUUGAAAAGGGAAAACUAAAAUAAGUAGGAAAAAAGAAUAUAUAAUUAAGGUAUUUCUCAACACAUUUAAUAUUCAUAUAACCUACUAUAUAUGUACACAUAUUAACAAUUAUUAUCUUCUCUUGCAUUUUUAUACUUUUCCUAGUUAAUGUUAUCUGCCCUCCCUUUGUAUUUAUUUACUUUUCUUAAUUAAUCUUAUAUUUUAAAAAAAUUACACCUAUUAUGUAUCUUAACAGUUGCCCAAUAGACAAACCCUAUAAUGAACUUCAUUUACCUUAAAAAGGAAAGCAGAUUUGUGAUUAAAUAACAGGAGGAUUUAAAUAACGAGAGGAAAAAAUUGGCCCAUCUAUUAGAAGUUUCAUCUUGGACCUAGUAUCCAUUUGGACAAACAAAACCCCACUUUAUAUUCCCCCUUGGACGUUCAAAUGGAGCUCUCUUACUGGACCAGUCCAAAAUAAAGUUUCUCGACAAUUAUCUUAUAGUGGCAAAAAUAUUAAGUUACACACUCAGAAUCCUAUAUCUUUCCACCAGCUCUUGGGCUGGUGGCCACCACCAAGCCCUUAAGGUUUUGGUGGGGUGGGAGGCAAGGGUUCAAACCUUGCUUCCCACCAAAAUGCCACCCUUGUGGCUUGCUUCAAAUCCAGACGGGUGCGUAGUGCACCCGUCUGGUCCGGUGGUGGUUCUGUCCCCAUCGGUCCCCAUAGGUUCAGUUGAGUCUCCCCGUAGAUAGAGUAGGAGUAGGAGUAGGGUUGACAAUUGACAAAAAAAAAGAAAAAAAGAAAAGGUCUUGAGUCAAUUCAAUCCGUAGAGAGAGGAAGAUGGCAGAACUCCCAAUUGAGAUAGUGACCGACGUACUAUCAAGGCUUCCUUUGAAAGCCCUCUUCAAAUGCAAGUGUGUCUGCAAGACAUGGUGCAACUUACUAUCGGAUUCUUAGUUCGUGAAAUUGUGGGAAACUAAGUGGAGAAAACUCCGUUUCUUUUACGUACAAGAUCUAGCAUGUUCCCGUGAUGGAAGUCGCUGUACCCUCCAAUUUACAUCCGCAGAUGAAGAAGGCCGUAGCAUUGUGCAAGAAUUCACCAAGGAAGGAAAAUAUUGCAGGGGUGGUGGAUUGUACAUCAUGUUAGCCCCUUGCAACGGCCUUGUAUGUAUUUUCCAAACACCCUUAUAUCGGGAAACUAGGCGUAUUUAUCUAUGCAACCCUAUAACUCACCAAUUUGUAACGCUCCCAGAGGCCUCCCCACAAUCAUGGGCCCGUGCAAUUGGUUUUGGACAUGUGCCCUCUACGGGAGAGUACAAAGUUGCGAGAAUGUUUACUGCCGAAUUUGUGACUGGGGACGAUAUGGACAGUGAUUUCAGUUGUGAAAUUUUUAGCAUUAGACGGGAAGCCAAUUGUUAUUCAUCAUCAGGUUCUUGGAGAGUCAUAAAUCAAUCCAAAUGCCCAUAUCCAAUUCGUAAUAGCGCUGUUUUUGUUAAUGGACGUCUUCACUGGGUAGUCAAUACUGAAUGUCCUUUUCCACCAGAUCAUGAUAAUGCCAUAAUUUUCUUCGAUUUGGCUAGUGAAACUUUUGGGUAUGUCCCCCAUCCUCCGGAUUACGAGCAUGAACAAGAAAGUUCCAUUUAUGUGUUGGAUUUGGCAGGUAACCUUAGCCUACUUAAUUUUGAAAAGCAUGAAAAUCUGAUCCGACUAUGGAUGCUUGAUGAUUAUGACAAAGGCAUCUGGACCGAAACGCAUAACAUCAUGUUAGACCCUCUGACUAGGGAUGACGGUAUCAGCUUUAAAUUUAUGGUGGGCAGGGAAUUAUUGAUGGCACCUUGGCAUUGUAAAUACAGACUCUACUACAACAUUGACACGCGAACUUUUAGAAGAGUUGAAAAGCCUGAGCCUGCAGGAUCUCAUGGGUGGACUUUUAGAUACUACUGGGAAAGCUAUGAAGAUCUGAUGGAAAAUCACAAAGUACUAGCAUUAUGUUAGGAAUCUUGGUAUUCUUUUCGCUUUUUUUUCCCUAGUUUAUCUACUUUGGUUGUUCUUUUUUUUUUUUCCUCCAUUAUGAGGAUAGCAAUACACUUUUGCCAUGCUUAAUAUAUAUAUUAAUGCUUGUGUUCAUAAAUGUUUUUGCCAAUUUACUUAAAGAUCAUAGAGACAUGAUCAGUUGAGUUUUCUAAUUAGCCGCAUCAUAGAUGAAUUGCAUAUAAUCCCUUAUGAUUUUUCAUGUAUCCGCAUCACACCCUCCCCUCUCCCUUUCAAGAUUUCAGAAUGACUACAUAACUCCCUAUGAUUUUGGCACACCAAAAAUUUGUGUGAUGGAAUCAUAAUAUCUACUUAACCUUUUUUUUUUGAUAAAUUGGGGGGGGGGUUUGAAUUCAGAAUUUCUUAUUUAUAAUCUCUCCUACCUUACUACUCAAUCCAACUCUUUCCCCUUCCCCCCAGUUAUUAAUAGUAAUCAAUAACAAAUAAAUAAAUCAACUAACAUUGUUGUUUAUAUAUAUAUAUUUUUUUAGCUGCAAAACAACUUGUUAACUUUUCUUUCUUUCAUCAUUUAUAUCUUCGAAAUUAGACCCCUUUAUUUGUGUGACCCUAUAAUUGGUUUUGGAUAUGUAUUCCCACAGGAGAGCAUGAAGUGGUGACAAUAUUACUACAAAAUCUGCGUAUGGAGACGAUGUCAAAGAUGAUUUAGGUUGUGAAAUCUUCGACAUUUGACAUGAAGGUGAUAAUUAUUCACCAUGAGAUUCUUGAAGAGUGAUUAAGGAAUCCCCGUGCCUGUAUCCCAUUUGAAAUUACGCUGUUUUUGCUGAUGGAUGUCUUCAUCGGGUAAUCAAUAGCGAGUGUCCUUCUCCACACCUUGAUAAUAUGUCCUCUGGUUUGGCAAGUGAGACUUUUGGCUAUUUCCCUCGUCUAUCAGAUUACGAGCAUGAAAACUUAAUACCCUUUAUUCUGCUGGAUUUUGGGAGGUUGGUUGAGCCUAAUUAAUUGCGAAAGUGCGGAUCAUCUGAUCCAACUAUAUAUGGAUGCUUAAAAAUUAUGAGAAGGGCAUUUGGACCAAAACACAUAACAUCAUGUUAGAGCCGAGGGAUAAACUUAUAAUUCCUAGAUUUAUGGUGGGCAGGGAAUUAUUAAGGGCGCCCCGUGAUGAUUCCAGUAGACUCUACUACAAUAUUCACACACGAACUUUUUGAUAACAAUAAAACUAAUUCAGGAAAAUAUCUAAAUGUAGGGAAUAGUGAAUGUCUGUGUGUGCAUUCAUAUAACAAAUUAGGUGCGAUUGAGGCUUCUUAACAGGCAAAUAAUCCACGCAAUAUCGAUAGUUUAAUUCUCCAAUAAAAUUAGCUGUUGAUCCAAACCAUUUGGAGCUGAUAAUUCAACAUAGAGUUGAUGUUUAUUUAAUAGAUUCUAGCAUCUUAUUCAACAUAGAGGUUCAUUUGCCCUUCUGGCUACCAUGUGAACCUGAGAAGUAGCCUUGAGUGAUUGUUCCUAUAGACAAUAGCCGAUAUACCUCAAUGCUUCCUUUAAAGAUUAAAGGUCCCCUUGAAAUGCAAGUGAGUCUCCAAAACGUGGUUCAACUUAUUUUGUGGAUUCUUGGCUGGUGGAAUCGCAAAAACAAAUUAGUUUUCAUUUAUUUAUUUAUUUAUUUUAUGUACCAGAUGGAGCAUAACUUUAAUUGGUCUUUAAGCUUCCUAAGUAUUGGCGAAAUAAUACAUCGGCCAAUUAGCUCUGAUACAUCAUAAGCCUUCUGUACGGUUUAUCAUGACAUGACCGAGAAAAGAUAUUACGCUAUGGUUUAGAAUUUUAUGCAAACUCAAGAAAAUCAAGGAAAUACUUAAACCAAAAAAUUAUUUGAAACGAGAAAUAAAUCAAUACUUCAAUGCAUUGUUCCCUUAUUGGUCCAAAUUUUAGAGUUGACCACUAGAUAGACAGCCAAUGUUUUUAUCUUUCUUUAGAUAGCGAACAUCCCUUCUUCAUUUGCUGGCCUUCUCCUUAGCAUGCAGAUCAGAAAAGUAGCCUUUAGGAUCGUUCUCAAAGCCCGUCCUUGAUGUAUAUGCUCCAUCACCACCAGGAGCCUUCAUCAGAUCAUUGGUGCCACCUUUGUUAGUCCCACCACCAGCGCCUGCUGCACCUGCUCCAGUUUCUUUGCCGCCACCACCAGCUCGGGCAACUGGUCCAGUUUCUUUGCUGCCACUUUUGUUAUCCAUCUCAAAUGCCCUUCAAUCUUAAUCGCUAAAAGAAUAGUGGUAGUAGUAGCAGAUAAUAAUUUUGAUGCUGAUGUAUACUUUGGUUAGAAGAUGAGGGGGGUUUAUAUAGGCAUAAUUUGAUUAGGAUGGAUUUAAUGGCUGCACUUGAAAUGAUAAAUUUUUCUUGUGAAUUUAACAGUCAAAUGCAUGACUGCAUGGGGAGACUACUUUGACUACACUGAUUUUUUAGCGUAUGACAUUCAAUUCAAGUAAUUUGUGCCCAGUUUUCAAGUUAUUGGGGGUCAUAACGAAACCUCAGAAUUAUGAACGCCAUUUCCUUGUAGUUUUGUGUUCAAAUUAAGGAACUUAUAUACUCCCUCUGUUCCAUUUUGAUAGUUCUAAUUUUUUUUCACACCGUUUAAAAAAAAGUAGUUAACCCUUGCUAUUUUUGAUACUCUAAUAAUAUGCCACUAAACACAUAGUGCAAAUCUCUUGUACCAUACGUUUAUUUAUUUUAGUGGGAAUGGUACAGAAGUAAUGGAAGAUUGUUUUCAACCAUGCAAUAUUUACCUUCCUUGGAAAAUUCUUGGCAUAAUUUCAGAAACCUCCCUUGAGUUUUUGACAAUUUCACUUAGCUCCCCCGAGAUUUCAAUAAUUACAUCGACCUCCCUUGGUCCAAUCAAAUGACUAAAAUGUCCUCCACUUAAUAGUUAAUUUACAAAGGGACAUUUAAAACUGAAAAAUAUUUCUUAUUAUUCUACUUGCCAUUUUCUAAUCUCAAAAAACAAUCUCCAUCAAUUUUCUAAUUUUCGUCCCUUUCUCUCUCCCUCGCUUCCUCUAUUAUAUUCUUCUCUCUUCUUCUCCUACAACUGCUUUUCACUCCCACCAAAUAUCGUGCGUCAUUGUUACCAACCAUACCACUAUCAAUUUUUUACCAUCUACAAAAUUUAUCUGUAUUUUUUGUUUUCCUGUCUCUUUCUUACUAUAAAAAUUUUAGACCCUUUAUUUUUUUCCCUAUUGUUUUACUCCUUACAAAUGUUAGCCAAUUGAAGUUACCAAAUUAACAAGCUGCAGAUUGUAGAUUUAAUUGUCAAACUAGGGGAAGAUGAAAAAUGUAGCAGUGAUAUAGGAAAAAAAAUGAAAUUGAGAGUUGGAACAUAAAAAGAUGACUAUUAUAUUUGUUAAUCAAAAAAAGUCUAACAAUUACUCAUUGGUUCUCUCUUUUAUUUACUUAUUGAUUGUGAUUUUACUAUAAAGGUAGAAUUUUGUCUCUAUUUUCUAAGAGUGUUAGAGCAACGAUGAAUUAUAUAUUUAGGGACAUGGGGUCAUUUCUUAGUUUAAUAUUGGUAGUGGUGGUGGUGAGUUGCAUUAGGCAAAAAUUAGCAAGUAAUGAAUUUUGAGAUGAGUUGGAGUCGCUGGACUUUGUUUGUUUUAGUAAGUAUGUGUUGUACAAGAAAUUAAAGAUUAAAACAUUGUUUUAUUUCGUCUUAUUCUCUGAAGAAGGGUAUUUUAAGAUAGUUGAAAAAAAUUAUAAACUAUUGAGUCUAUAUUGUUACAUAAACCUUAAAAGCAAGGGAGGUAUGUGUAAUUUUUAAAAAUUGAGGGGAGCUCUUCGUAAUUGCUAGAAAUCUCAAGGGAGGUUACUGGAGGGUUGAAAAGCCUGAGCCUGUAGCAUGUGUUGCUGGGAAAGCUAUGAAGAUCUGAUGAAAAAUUACAAAGUAUUGGCACUAUGUUAGAACUCUUGGUGGAUUUUUGGUUUAUUUUUCCAGUUUAUGGACUUGGAUUUUACUAUUAAGAUAGUUUCAAGUGUUAAUUUUUUUACAAUAAUAAAACUAAUUCAGGAAAAUAUUAAAAUACAGAGGAUAACAAAAGUGAGUGUAUGCAUACAUAUGUCAAGUUAGAUGCGAUUUAGGUUUCUUAACAUUAUAAAUCCUACUAAAUUUUGCAUAUUUCUCUGUUUUUUUUUUAAAGAUAAGUUAUGCACUUUUGCUAUGUUUAGAAUAUUCUAAUUCUUUCCUUCCUAAUUUUUUCCCUACAUAUGUACAUAUAAUUAAAUCUUCACAGCUUGACUUCUCUAGUAAAACAAUAUUAAUUUUUCCAAAUUUGAGAUUAUAUUAUUGUAUAUUUUGUAACAGCAUAGUAACAUCUGGAACGGUAGAUUGGUGAUUGAAAGAGUAAUUUGAGCAUCUGACUAAGUUGGAAAGGAAAAAAGUUAGUCUUUAAAUUUUUUUCCUUUUUGUAAAUAUUGCUAUUUUUCAAUAUAAAUCUUGGUAAAUAUGUUUACAAAUCAAAGGAUGUUCAAGCAAAGGAAAAUAAUGAAGAGUUGACAAUUUUACUUCUAUAAUUCCAGUGGCAUCUAUCGUUUCACAGCGUCUCAUCAGCCUCUUUUAAUUGCAACAACCAGGAAAGUUUAAUAUUAUGUACACAAUCUCUCAAUUCUCAAUCAGAGAAGCCUCAUGUAUCCAUGAAAUGGAGGUUCAUAAGCUCGACUUGUACGAAAAACGAAGAAGAAGGAAAAAAAAAGGAAGAAGAAGAAGAAGAAAUUAGACACAAACGUAAUAAUUUUGCAUGUGAUGCCCAGAAAAACAACUUUCUGUGCCUAAAUGUAUGGAAAAUCUGUAUAUUUUCCUUCCCAUGAAAUACUAGUGUCAAACUUAGGAUGUUAUUUUCUAAGAAACAAUUUUUAUAUUUUCCGUGACCACAUUUCUUAAUCAUCUUUUUAUCUCACAUACAUCAAAUUAUUACAAUAUAUAUAUAUUUAAAAAAACUUCAAAAAAUAGCGAUCCAAGUGGAAACUAAAAGCCAAGCUUUUUAAUGUGGACAAAUGAAGUUGAAGAUCAAUUGGGAGCAUCCAAUAUUGCUAUACUAUCUGAAAAAAAUUGUUACAUCAAGUCAAACAAAGGAAGCUGCAUUCUCUAAUGAUCGAGAAUUAAGCAACAUCCUUUGUAUGUCAAGUACAAGACUAGAAUUUAGAAACAUGAGGGAAAAAAAAAGCAUCUAAUUUCUUUUCUUAAUCCAUGGCUAAUAGACUAAUGGUGAUGGGCUUGAUAAUGACCCCCUACAUAAUAUGACAAAUUGGACCCAAGCUCACAAUUAUUGAUACUACAAUGAUUCAUCAUCAUAUUAGUUUUUCACAUUAUGACAAUGAUGUUUGUUGCUUACACUAUUCUCGUUUCGUCUUUUAUCUUGUAAAUUUCUACAUUUGUUUAAGCCGUUCGAUUUCUUACCCCCCAGCAAGUCUAGUUGCCCAACAAUACCAUCUAACAAGGCAAGCAACGCCAAUGCCCUUAAAACUAUUUCUUCUAUGACAUUAAAAGUUAUUUUGGGGUGAAAUAAAACUCUUAUUGGGUAUUUUAAAUUUUUUCUUUUUUUUUUGUACAUGUCAAGAUUUUUAAUUCGGGAUGAAUCUAAAAAAAAAAAAGAGCAAAAGUUCUUUCCCAAAUUAAAAAUUUUUGUCAGCAACUGUAUUUAUCUAACACAAAUUAUCUCUUAUUGGAAAUACUAAACAACGUAUAUUUAAACAACGUGGACAUCAUUUUGCCAGAGAGAGAGAGAGAGUGUGUGUGUGUGUGUGUUCAAUUUUGGUUUUUUUUUUCCUCCUUUGUUUUUCUUUUCUUUAUGAGAAACUAAUAAAGAAGAGAAGACGAAGUGAUCUUCAGCUCUGUAUGGAUUUUUUUCGCUUUCUGUUACAUUUCUUUUUCCAUGUCCUCUAAGCAGUUUUCUUUCACUUUCUGUUACAUCUCUUUUUCCAUGUCCUCUAAGAAAAAGCUGCUUCUUCUUCUUCAAUAUAAUUAACGUCUUUUUGGGUCCAAGCAGGGGCAGCAAACUAGUAAAGUUUUCCAAGCCAAUAUAUUUCUGUCUCCUUUGGUCACAGGGAGUGGUCCAAUACCGACCUCAUGAACAAAUAAAAUGGCCAAUUUGGGACUUGUAAGGCAAGAUUAGCGGCUGUCAUGACAAUGAUCCUCAACAAUGAAAGCUUUAAGACCCCUUUUUUAUUUUUUAAUAAUCUGUGCGAAUUAUUAUUUCUCAUGAAUCCAAAUUUGUGAUCUUCUUCAUUUAUUAUUUUUUUUUUUUUUUUGCAUUCUUUGAAGAAUAAUACAUAACUCCAAACACUGUAAACAGUUAUAUAUAGAGCCUUAAUAUAUAAACCAAAAGACAAAAUCACCUAACAAUUGCAAAUUUUUCCUGGCAGGUAUAUGAGGUAUGCCACUUUCAAAAUUGUUAUAUUUUUUUCAUUAUUUGUUGUUUAAUUUCUGUCAUUAAUCACAUUAUCUUGUUGAUCACAUAAUUAAUACGUUAAUCUACUCUAUCAAUGUGGUAAAAAUUAACUAUGUGUAAAAGUGUUUCUUUUGUCAGCCUUUCAUUUCCCAUUUGGUGAAUCCACCAAAUCCCCAAAAGACCAUUUCAUCGCUCUAUGAUUUUUCCCUUAUCUUUCUAUGCCUAGUUUACAAAAAUAAAUGACCGGAAAAACAUAGCUAUACAUAUUCUACCUAUAGUUUAGCCUGAAAAAGAACCCAAAAAAGGGAAAAAAAACUAUUUCAAAGGUCCAAAGCAAUAAUUUGCGGUUGAUUUAUAUGAUCAUAUUUCCAAAUGGAAGCUAAGAAAAGCUCAAUUCUGUUUUCCUGAAUACCGGCAAGUCAUAUGACUUUUCUAUCAAUAGAAAUAAGGUCUCCAGCUCAUAAAUGAUAUCAAUUUCAAAGGAAAUUAAAUGUUGACCGAUGGAUUGGUAGAGUAAUUUUGUAACAAAUUGGCAAAAAUAAAAAGAAUCCACGCAAUCUUUCCUUUUCUAAACAUUUAAUUCUUUUUACUAAAUGCAUUUUCAAGUCCUUCGAUUGAAAGUUCAAACCAAUUUCAUUUUCACGACUGUACCCAAUUUCCCAGCAGCUCCUAGGAAGCUGCCUCCACUGCUUCUGUGGUACUAAUUUCCUGACUCAGUCAGGCCCAUCAAUUUAUACCAAAAUUAAUAUUCAUGCAAAUAGAAAAAAAAUAAAAAAAAAGGGCUAGAAAAACAAUUUUUUUAUCCAACAAAAAAGAAAAGAAAAGAAAAACUAAUAUCACUACUGUUCUGAGAUUCAAACGUUAAUAUACAAGCAACAGCCUUAUCUGGAAAAAACAGGCUCUUCUGUGAUUGUAUCCAACAAAGGUUUCCUUGAUUUGCACGAUGCUAAUCUAAAUCUAUAUUCCAUAUCCUUAAACCCUUCAAUCUCCUCCAAAUUCAACCUCGACCGCCCAACUUCUUGAUCAUCAUCUCUUGUCACCGCGGCGGCCGCCACCUCAGGUUCAACUUUGCCACCGGCUAUCCGCCUCGCAGCAGUGUUCGCCGCCAUCAAAACCACCGCCAUAUCAGCUGCAGUGACGAUGGAAUUCACGCGUUUCAUCUGAAACAUGAUAUAAACGUUGCCAAACUCCAAAUCUUCAUCGGCAGAAAGGGCGGAAAAUCUUUUUCCAAUGUUCAAGGACUUAGAGUUCACCAAGAAGUAGUUUGGACAUUCUAGCAUGAGUUCUGCUGCCUUCACCAGUUGCCGGAACUGCCGUACUUCACCGCCUGGGAGAAUAACCCUGGCGGCCCUGGUGGUUUUCAUCAACGGAGUCGGAAGAGUGCUGCAUGACAUCAAGUUUCCCAUGAUGGAAGGGGGGAGAGAGAGAGAGAGAGAGAAAGGUGUUUGAAGUGCUGUUUAGUGCGUGUCUAUGUGUGAACCGGUGGAAUUGCUUUGCUAUUUAAAGAGCACAACUAUUGCGCGUGGAGGCUAUAAUUUACUACUAAUAAUUAUGUGUGGGUUGGAGUAACACAAAUAUCAAUUUUCAAAUUAAGCAAUUAAUAGUCUAGAAAUCCAAUUAUAGGAAAUUUUUUGACUUUCCUUCUUCUUUCUUUUUUUUAAAUUUCCAAAACCUAUUCCCUCAAUUUGGAGAAUCGUUUAUUGUUUAUUAAUUUUUUUGUGGGGAGGGGGGGGGGGGGAGGGAUAAAUGGCAAUGUGAAUUUAAAAAAGUGGUUCAAGAUUUUUUAAAAAGAAAAUCAGAUAGCAACCUUAUCCAAAUACAGUUAGUAGAGUAUAUGUUAGGCUCAAGAGAAUAUAAGCAAAUCACACGCACUAAAACUUUCAUUUAAGGUGGGAAAUGGAAAAUUAAUUCAUUUCAAUAAGAUAAAACUAUAUAUAUAAGCAAUAAUAUCCACAAAUUACAUCCUAUUGAUUAGGAUAAGAUAUUUUUUUGCUUGUGAUAAGAUUUUAAAGAAAUUUAAAAUGUAACAACGAUAUGUCCUACAAAAGUUCAAUGUGAAAUGAUGAGGAAAUUGUAUAGAAAUGACUCAUCCUAGGGAUGUUUGAGCUUGAACCCGGAUGACAAGGACAUAUAAUUAUAGUUAAGGGAUCCUUAAUAGGAGUUAGGAUCUAGCCACCCUAGUACUAGAAAUAGCUAAGGGCAACAAAUUCGAUUACUAUUUGGCAAGGACAGAGCUCUAACGCAGAAGUCCAGAACAGAGACUUUUGCGGCUGGGUUUGACUAGGGUGUCCGCGUUGGGGGCGAAAUUUGUGGAAAAGAUGAAGGAAAGUUAUAGGAAUUAGUUUCGUAGUUUUGAGUCAUUGGUGUCACGAGUCCUUUGGCAUUGAUGCGUGUGGGGACUGCGACCCCGUGGGAAAAUAUGGAACUUUGGCUUUGUGAACCGAAUCCGAAUGCUCAGUCUUUGGAAGCUAGUACUCAAGUUUAGAACCAGAACUGUCUAUCAACUAUGAUCUAAUUUCUUUACCUAGCAAAACAAACAAACAAACAAACAAACAUCUUGGUUUGGUUUAUUCUUUUGUUUUCUUUAUGUGUUUCCUUGAGAAUAACCAAUUUAUCUGCAGAUUUUUGUGGUGUACAAUGUGCAAGCUUGAUGUAUUAUUAUUGGGCUCAGAGGGGAUUACUCUUUGCCAGCUUUUAAUUUACAUGAUAUGCUCUCAAAGUUUUGAGGAUUGUUGGUUAGAAAUUACUAGUAUUUAAGAUAUAUGGAUUAAUUUUUGUUAUACAUUAUCACUUUAUAGGUAAAAGUUAUUUCUAGUGUAAUAAAACAUGAGUAUACUAAGGAAGCUAGUUAAGUUUAGUACAUGUCUAUUGUGAUUAUUUACAUCAUUUCACGCAUACGGGCUCAGGUAUAAGUUAAAUAUACUAAAAAGUACUAAUCAGACACGCCCGUUAAUAAAAUUCUUUUUUUUUUUAAGGAAGAGAAAAUAUGGUAGAUUAUGAGAUAAUAUUUUGCAACCUAACCGCUUUUGAAAAUUGAAACACUACCAAAUCAUCCCUAUGGCCUGCCUAAUCUGCGGAUUACUUUUGUGUUGCGGUCGAAAUUGCAAGUAACUUUUCUUUUUAUUAGUGCAGUAGAUUAAAAAACAUUGAGAGUGUCAACUUCGUGGUAUUGCUUUCCAACAGCCACCCAUGCGAUUGCCCUUUUAAAUUCUUGGCCACCUAGACUUUCCACGCGAUUUAGUGGUCCUUUAGGCUGCGGAAAAUGAUUUUCCAUCAAAUCAUUUCUUGACAACUUACAAGGUAACUGCAAAUCAUGCAUUAUUGAAGGCUUAUGUGGUCAGGCUAUGAUUACUUUCAUUUGACUUAAGCGUUAUGUUUAGUUCUUGCUGUUGAUACAAUUUUAGCUUUGCUGUCACGUUCUAGUUCAACAAGGGAGAUAAUUCACUAACCUUUCGGCACAGCUUCAUUUUCCCAUGGCCUAGUUUUGAUGUAUGAUGGGGUAGGGCAAGAACCAAAGUUUCAGCUUUACUCUUUUGCCUGGAGCAUUAGGAACUCUAGUUACAUAAGUGGUCACUCUUUAAAAUAUAUAUAUAUAUAUAUAUUCAAAAAAUUGUAAGACAGGUUGAAAAGCAAAAUUAUCAAACCACAAAAUCCUGCAUGCCCUUGCAUUUUUUUUUUUUUCACAAUAUCAAGAAAAUGCAGUGCAGUUGCAUAUGUGAAACUUCGGGAGUUAAUCCGCUAUCAAAGGCGUGGUUGCCGUCACUGUUUUGAUUGAAUUAAUAAGGGGCGUUCCCUAACUGAGUAAAUUAAGAUUAAACAUCAUUUAAUGUUCAACAGUGAUUUGGACCAACCAACUUCUAGUGAUUUUCUAAUUAGUAGCGUCUACGGCAUCUCAAUUUAAAAGUCAAGGGGAAUUUACUUCGCGAUCUACAAGUAAUACACUGGAUUCCAUAAAAAAACCGACAAGAGGAAAAACACGGAGAGAGAGAGAGGGUAUAAUUGCUUUGUUGGUAUGCUUAUUUCACCUUUUAAUUUAUCAUUUGAAUAUACACUCACCCCAUUUAUUGAGACACUCGUAAGGUUUAAAUUUACUUCAUUGUGGGGGAAAAAAAAACUAAAGGUGUGUUUAAUAAAAUUGAAAUAUAAAAAUAUGAAUUUUGAAAUCUGAAUCUAUUUAAGUUAUUGAUUUUUUAAAAAAUUUUUUAUUGAAGUUACUGAAUUGUUAUUUAAGCGCAUUCUGCAUUAAGUGAUAAAUAAUUUAUUUAUCACUUAUUUUUUUUAGAGUAAGUUUUGUCUGAGCAAUUCAAAUUCACUUAAUUGAUUAAAAUGUUCUAUUUUUCAUCACGAAACACGUUUGAACAUGAUAAGAUCUUAAUUCUUUAAAUUUAAUUUAACUGCUGAAUUGAAUUAUCCAACAGGCCUAACAGGACAUGUAAAACUUAUGUUAACGAGAUUUUUUUUUUACUAAACACCUAUUGGAUAAACCUACACAAUAGAUCAUUACAGAUUUCUAAGCCAGAUAAGAGGAGAAAAGAAAAAGUGAAAGCCGACAUCUACUUAAGAUUCCUUGAAUGCAGAAGAAAAAAUGGUAUCAGGAUUAAUUAUCCACUUGGGGAUUCCGUACUACACUGAUGAUCAUCUUGCUGUCACCAAACUCCGUGUUAAUAUGUCGACUGAUUCACACAAUUCUUUGGAGAAAUUGACUCCAUCCUAGUAAACAAUUGCAAUAAGACUGUAUAUGCAGGAUACGUUUAUCAAGUCAACCAAUUGACUAGUAUCAGUUUAUCAUAAUUAGCUAGCCAACCGACGGCUUUUGAAGAGAUCCCCAUGUGGGAUUAAAAGUUCAUUAGCCUUUUAUUUAUUUAUUUUUUUUUAGUUUUAUGUUAAGAGCUGAUAUAUUAUGAAUUAAUUAACAAGGACCAGAUGACGGCCUUGUCGGUUUGUAGAUUGCAGUUCCAAUUACCCACAAUUUAAGAUUCAUUUCUUACUUUUUUUUUUCAAUUUAUUUAUUCAAAACUCGAAGAUUCAAAACAAUCAAGAUUGCAUAAAAUUAUGCGAUUGAAUAUUGACCUAACAUUUUUUUCUUCUUCUUCUUUUCUUUGUUAUUUAUUCUUUACGUUGUAGCUUGUAUGUUCUAGAAAAGGCAAAUUAAAAAUAAACAGGACACAAUUAGAACGUGUUCUUAGGACAUUUUGACAACUUGUUAUUUAUCACCUUGUAAUCUUGUGAUCUUAGGAGCUUCAGACUAGAUAAUAUGCAUUGGUAGGUAAGGGUCCAUGCCCCUUUUUGUUAAACAAUUGAAGAUAUAAGUAUAGUUCAUAUAACAAAAAAAAAUAGUUUUUAUGCCUAAACAAAUCCUUCUAGAAAAUACGUACUCAGUCACAAAUAUAAAUUGAUCUCAACAUCAAGAAGGUAGUUCUGAAAUAGUCACAUGAACAGAAAUUAUCCAAACAUGAAUUUAGGUAAUAGUCUACGGUUUGCAAAAUAAAUCCAUAAAUUGCGCAAUUCCGGUUGUAAGCCAAAUCUGUACGUAAAAGAACGCUUCAACUCAUAUAGAAGUAAACUGAGUCAAGAUGAAUGCUCGAUCAAAUUUAUAAACAUCUAAGUGACCUUAAAUCCUAUGAUCUUUAGACACAAAUCUUAUUUUGUAAGAGCUUAAAGAGUUGUGUACGUAUAGAUCACAGUUCCCUCAACCAAAAAAAAUAAAAUUGUUGGUGAAUAUAAGUUAAAAGAAGAACGAAAGAAAGAAAGAAAUUGUGUUGUUCACCUAGAUUAUACUAAGUGGAAUCCUACUCUCCAUGUAGAGAUCAUAGGAAAUAACUUCAAAUAUGAAUUUAUGCAUCUCAUCGAGUUUCACAUAUAAAUUCUAACAGCAACAUGUUGGAAGAGAAAUAUAUGAAAUGAGAAUGAUCAACAGGUCCAUGAGUAGAUAAGGAUUGAUGCAGCAGUUCUUCUCCAAAAUUUGAAGAAGAGGACUGCAUCUGCUUAUCAGUUAUCAAUAUUUGCAAGGAUUAAAAGUCUCUUUUAGGGGUUCCUAACAAGAGUUUUCCCUUUUUUAGGAUUUUCUAACUAGAGUUUCAUUUUUAUUAGAUUGUUCUAAUGAGAAUUCUUUUCUCUCUUAAAAUUUUCUUGUGAGGAGUUUUCUUUAUUUUUAGUUAUUUAUCUUGUUAGAUCUGCAAUUUCUUAGAUGUGUUUUUGGAGACCUAGAAAUUCUCAAAUUUAUUCUGUUGGAUUUUUUUUCUUUUAGUUUGAAAGAGUUUUACAUUGGAUUUGACAAUUGAAGAUAUGCACAAAUUUGGGCUCCAAGAUAUUCGUCCGAUGUUGAUAGAUUUUUGGAUCUUCAUAGUACUAUUUUACUUUUUUAAAUUUCCAAAUUUGUUGCGUCCGUCAAUUUUCAAAUUGUUUUUAUCUAUUGUAUGUUCGAUGUAUUGUCCGUCGUUAGUACAGAUUUAUGGAAUAAAAUUAUUUUGUUUAUCAAAAAGAAAUAAAUGAUCUUGUUAUUUCAUAUUAAAAAAAAUUAAGUACCCCAUUAGGGAAAAAAUAAAAAAACUCUUUUUAAACAGACAUAGCUAAACACAUUUAUGUAACAUGAUAGUAGCCAGAACUAAGUUAGGCAUGUAAAUGUGUCCCUGUAGUUCUACCUGCGUAGGUGACCGAAUCUUUAACACUUGCAAUACAAAAUUUUUUUGCCAUUGACCAGUUACAUAGGUAAAACCCAAAGAAUUAUCCAAAAUCCGGAAUAAAUAUCUGACGUUAACAACAUGACAUAAAUAUUUCUUUAACUGACAAAAAAAUCAAUAUUAAUUUAUUCUGUGGCACUGCAAAUUAAUUGUUUUCAUUCAUAUGCAAUUUAGGUCAUCUUGCUAUCACCAAACUCUGUGUUAAUGUGCCGACUUAUUUAUAUAAUUCUCUGGUGAAAUUGACUUUUAUCUUAAACAAUUGCACAAAACUGGGUGCCAUGCGUUUAUGAGCCAACCAAUUGACUAAUAUCAAUUUUUUUUUUAUCAUGAUUAAAGCUUACCUAACGGCUUAUGCUCAAAUCCCAUAAUCCAUUUGGUACUAAAGUACUUUCAUUAACCCUUUUUUUGAUAUUGGGAGCUGGUCUAUUGUGACCUAAUUAGGACCACAUCUCAACCUUGUCUAUUUGUAUACUAAAGUAUCACGUACUGACAAUUUAAGGUUCAGUAGUUAGAUAAUAAACAAUUUAAACAACCAAACGCGUUUGGUCUAGUAGAGCCAAAAUCGAAACUACUUUUUUUUUUUUUUUUUGGAAGGAAAACUGCCCAUUGUCAAUUAGUUACAUGUCAUUUUAUGUUUGGUGAAUUAAUCAGCUUAAUUAAAAUAUUAAUGUGUCCAAGAUUGCAACAGCCACCCCAUCCAACCCUGUGAGGGAAAUUGUGACAACAGAGUGCUCAAACUUGAUCUUCUUCUUGCCCUGAUUUAAGUAAAUUAUUCGUCAUUAAUUACCUAUUUAAGUAAACUCAAGUACCUCGAAGUCCAAGUAAUUAAACUUACUCAACUACAAGCUUGAUUAUUACCAAGAUCAAUUCUUCGCCUUGAACUUUUCCGAGUAUAUAGCCUCUAAUCCUAAUUCUAGAAGAUUUAGACAUAACUCCAUAACUGACUAGGUCUGUGUUAAGUACUGCCUUCCCAGGAAAUAAUAAUUUCUCUUGCAGUCCUUGUCUAGAUUAAAAGACUAAGUCUAAGCGGAUUCCUACUCUCCAAGGAAAUAAUAAUUUCAAACACAUGAUUCUUGUUUCUCAUCAACAUACGUUUGAGUACUUCUACCAUGUUGGAGGAGAAAUUUUAUAAAAGGAUAAACAAGUGCAGGAGUAGGAAAAUCAAUCAAUUGCUUAUGAAUAUUGUUGCUCAGAAAGGGUAAUGUUUGCCAGAGUCUUCAAGUUGAUGGGUCGAAUGCUGGUGCGGCCUCCGCUCCACAAAGCCUUGGAAAUGAGUUUGUAAGUGCGUUCAGAGGGGUGGAAGUAAUCCCAGAACAAGUUUCGAUCUGGCUCUGGACAAACUGUGUAACCCUCUUUUCCACAUUGCACCAUUCCGCCAAGAGUUCCAUAACCACAACAUGCAUUUGUUACAUCAUUGAAGCCUGUUAUAUAUCAAAUAUCAGUGGUCAGUAAUGAUACACAUGAAACCAAUUUUAUGCAAAAAAAGGUUAGUACAAGUUUUGAGAGACGAUAUGCAGUGAAAAACUUAACAAGGAGAGAAUCAUACUCCUCAUGAACCCCUAAAGAAAAAUGGACAACAUUUUAAUGGAUUCAAGAAAACCAAAAAUGAAAAAGUAGAUGGAAUCAAAGGUAAAGAGAAAGGGUGGUGCCGUAGUGGGGAGGCAACUAAUGCCAAUUUUUAGAUAGUUAUUGACUAAGUUUGGCUGAUUCUUGCGUAGAACCAUUUUUGAUUUUGGGUCAAAAGGAGGGUUUAAGCCCAUAAAACCAUUUUUGACACUAACACAAGUAGGAUAAAAAGUCAUAGUUACGAGAUUCACGGCCUAAUUAACCAACCAGUCUAAUCUAGGACUUUGAAAAAAAAUGCUCCAGAAUGAUUAUUCAUAUGACACAAAAAUUUAGGAGAAAAAGCGUAACAAUUAUAACUUUCCUUCACAUUUUCUUUUCAUUUCAUUCUAGGUCGAACAGACGAGUAAACUUGUGAAAAACAAAUAUGAAAAAGAUUACCGUAUUGGCUCGGAUUGUCUCGAAAAAGUUGGACAGUCUUAUAAACCGCUCCAUAAACAGCAAUUGCGCCAGGGUACUUGCUAGGAAUGGCCUUAACAAGAUUUUCCAAUCCCAUGUUGAAAUUCUUGACCAUUUUGUUCAUCUUUCCAUUGCACUUAUCAGUUGGUGCACCAGGCAAAAGGGCCCUUGCUGGGACACAGCCAACAGGUCCUAGUGAAAAUAAGGCAAUUUUGCGUGCCCCAAGCUCAUAAAUUUGGUCAACAAAGUUACCAACUUGUUUUAACAUUUCUUGGACAUAAGCAUCUGGGCUAAGAGUUGGGGCUUCAAAUGGAAAAAAGUAGUUGAAGGCAUCAUUUGAGCCUGAUUCCAAGAAGAACAGAGACUGCUUCACCACUUUCUUGUCUAGAUGAUUUUGCUCUAUCAGUGACUUGAAUUGUUGCAGUUGGGUUUGGAGUGAUGUGACAUUCUGGAAUUGAAAUACAUAAGAAUGUCAUGAUUUGAUUCUAAGAAGAUCUAAAAAUUGAUUAUUUGGUUCAGAUUUGAAUAUUUAUUCUUAUCUUACCAAAUCUUUGUUGGUUGUGGAAAGAACACCGCUUCCAGCGCUAGCAAAAUUGAUGCCAUUAGAUGGAUAAUUCUUUAGAGUUCCAUUAAUUAUAUCAAGCUGUGCCUCGAGGAAUGGUUUUUGUAACGGGAGACCAAGAAAUUGAGCUGCAUUUUGAAAGCAUGAAUUUAGAAUAACAGAACAAAAAAGAAAAGCAAAUGUAAUAUAUAUUAAGAUAAAUUUCACUUUAUACCCUAAAUAUAUAUUAUAUUUAUUUUAUUGUACUUGUAAUAUUUGGCAUCCUAUACUCAUGACAAUUAGCACCAAGGCGCUAUACAAUUUUUUUUUUUUUUUUUUUUUUUUUUUUGUUCUUUUUCCAAAUUGGCAUAGUUUCUUAUGAAUCUCUUAUAUCAGGAUUCGAAACAUUGCACCAUAAGAUAAUAAGAGGUCAGAACCAAAUCAUGAGAAAUUAGGGUUAAAAAAAAGCACAUUUGCAAUAUAUUUGAGAGUUUAUAGGAAAAUCCAUCCUGACUUUUGUGCCUGCAUUAGUUUAAGAAAGGCAAAAGAAACACUCACAUAAGAAAUCUGCAACUGUUCUACCAUUGGUGAAUCUUCCAGUAGGGCGGUGAAAGAAAGUUGAACCAUAAGGUGGAAAAUCAGCUUGAGCAGCACAGUACUUGUUAUAGUGAUUGUUUCCGGCAUCAAAAAUUGAGUCUCCAAAUACGUAGAUUGAUGAUACCUUGUAUCCUAAAACAGAUGACAAAAAGUUUAGGAGGAGAAAGAAUAUGAGGGUUUUCUCCAUCAGGGCUUAUGUGAGUAAUGCGCUAGAGAAAAAGGAUGAUGUGAAUUUAUCUGACUAGAAAGAGAGGAGAAGAAAACAAGGAGAGUGAUGAAAUGAAACGGAAAGCACGAGCUCAGGCCAUGCAUGAUGAGCAUCAUCAUUCAUCACUUUCUGAUCAAAAACAGCUAGCCAAAACUGUUACUUGCCACCAGAAAAAUUUGUCUUUUUCUGCAAAAAAUAGUUCUAUUUAUCUGCUGUUUUUUGCAUUUAAAGUUGUGAACUUGAGAUGAAAUGCAUGCUGCAAAGGAAAAUUUUUUUCCAGUAGACAUUUGACUUUCUCAAAUGUAUUUGCGUUACUUUUGAAAAUCCUGUACAUCCCCUUUAGCCAUGGUUUUCCUUUUUUCUAACUUAUUGAAUUUUUGUUUAACUAAAAUUGCAAAAGCAAGUCUUCUUUUCCCCAAAAUGAACAGAGACUAUAACUAUAUGGAGACCAACAAGAAAAGAAUAUAAGCACACAUGAAGAGAGCUCCUUGAUAUGUAGAUAGUAAACAAAUUUUAUGCAAAAUUUCGCGGCCUUGAUCCUUUUAUUUUAGAGAUGUGUACUCAUUGUUUUCUUGGAAUGUCCAACAAUCUUUUCUAUUUAAAAUUGGGAUGGGAAAAGAGAAACUAAAAACAGGAGGGGAAGUGGUAAAGGCCUGUUUUUUUUUUCAUGAUGAAGUAGAAAGCGUCAUAAUGAGUUCUCUCAAGUUAUUUCUCAUCUAAAAGACUUCAAAUUUACAUAAGUUUUGGACAUCCUGAAAAACAAUGCAAGCUAGAAGGACAAACAACUAAUUUGUAAAAGAAUGAUGAGGCAAACCAAUUGUUAAUAAUCAUAAUUACUUAUUAGUGGUAUGCUUCGAGUUCAUCAGAAGCCAUUUUUCAGCAUAGACAUUAUACAAGUCUACUUAUGAUAGAAUACUUAUUACUUAGUUGCUGUCUAAAUACUACAAGAAAUUCUUGAUUCAGGUAGGACACUUUGAGUAAUUACUAUUACUUAUGUGGGAGUUUUAAUCAUGCAAAAUACAAGUCACAAAAAGUAAAUUUGGUCACAGUAGAAACUGGAGAUUGACAUCUUAUGCCUGAAGAAAUUACUUCUGGAUGGAAAAAUUUUAUCAUCUUUUUGGAUGAAAAUUAACUAUCAAUUUGACAGUUAGAGGCAGGAGCAAAUUGCAAAUAUAAUGGAUUAAUAGGGCCAAAUGCAACUUGCCCUUUAAUUACAAGGUGUUUAGCGUAAUUGAGCCAUUCUUUCGUAGGUUGUAUAACUUGUAUUCAUAAUUUUAGCGCUCCCUGCUCCCUUGCUGGUUGCUGCAUUGACCGCCUCAGACCCCCAACAAAAAAGAAAAAAUCGCAGUUGAUUUCUUCGCGGAAAUCAGUGAAAUGAACAGAGAAAUAGAAGAAAUCCAAGAAGAUUUAUUAGCAAAGGCAGCAAAAGCAGCUGAUGAGCUCUAUAACAUUCGGGACACCUACUUUCCUGCGGACCCAAAUGACAAAAUAUCCAAAUUGCAAGCUGAAUCGGAUCUUGUCCUGCAAACCCUCAAUUCCAUUCCUCCAGGUAGAAACAUGUACUUGUGCAUUACAAAUUUAGCAAAUUAGUAAAAAAGUUUCAUUUUUGUUAUUGGGUUUAAGAGAUUUUCCUUUCUGGAUUGAUGUGCAGAAAACAGGAAAUUGCCAAUUCAACGUGCAAUGUACGAGUACUUGAAAGGGAAAGUAUUGGAUGUCUUCUCUGAUUAUAGGAAAGAUGCUGAGGAUCAUCUCUCAAAAGCAGUGAGUAUAAAAGAAUUGAUUUGUAUCAAAUGGGUCUUUGUUUCUAUUUUUGUCUAUUUUUAAUUGAAUUGUUUGAUUUUGCUGAAAUUGAUGGUUUUUUUUUUUUAAUUUUAACUAUUUUUGGUGCUAAAGGUUAAGUUGAAUCCAUCUCUUGGAGAUGCAUGGUUGAGUUUAGGCAACUGUAUUUGGAAGAAGGGAGAUUUAUCUGCGGCUAAGAAUUGUUUUAUGCUUGCUUUAAGCAAGGUCAUUUCUUGUUUUAUUCUUUGAAAACUUUGUUCAUUUUAUUAGUAGUAUGUUAAGUCAUGCAGUGAUGUAAGUUAGCUAGUUGAUGAUAUGAGACUGAUGUUGUUUCUGUCCAGGGCCCCAACAAAAGGAUACUCUGUCAAUUAUCUAUGCUCGAAAGGAAAAUGGCUCAAGGCAAGAAUUUUAUGGAUAUUGCUCUAGUUCUUUUCCAUGUAAUUUUGCUCAUUCUUUGACUGUCUUCCUUUGAGAGAUGGGGGAAUCCAUGAAUGAAUGACUGGAGUAAUAGUAUGGUGAAGCUGAAGGACGUGCCAAAUUGUAAAUGUGAAUUUAUAGCUGUUGAAAGUCAGAGAUCCUUACUUUAGAAUCUAGCGUAGUAAGAUUUUGAGUAUUACUUGAGGUAGGUUAUCAUGGUUUUUGAAAAUUUUGAGCUUAUCCAAGCGAUUAGGGAAAUGUGGCUAGCCAGAUAUCCUUAGUCAUGGAGCGUGACUCAUAUGUUGGUUCUGGCUUUGUUGCACUGUGACCUCGAUGAAUAACUGUUCUCUUUGAGACUUUGACUGCUAAAUUUCCUAUAUCUUUUGUCACAAUAGAUAUCUUUGCCCAGCUAAACGUAACACUGAUCAAAUCAUUUAUCACGUAUUGCCUUUUCGAUUUUGGGAAAGAGUAAAAAAAAAGAGGGUUGAAACACCAUGGCAUGUUCAAGCUUCUUUGCUGCUUUGGUCCACUACACAGCAGAAAAUAUUCUCUGGACCUCCUGCAGUGAUAUGAUCUUAGAUGGUUGAAGCUUCAAGUUCCGCACUUCUCUGGUAGUUUAUUCUGAUUCUCUGUAAAUCCAUUGUGGCCUUUUCAUCGAGGAUUAUCAUGGAUAUGCUUUAAUAACUUUAAUAUGAGGAGAUAAUUUUUAUCUAUACUGUUACACAGCUGUUACUCAUAGAAGAACUAGAUAUGUUAUGAUGCCUCUAUUCAAAUAGACUGAAAAACAGUAACAACUUUAAAUAUCCUAAUGGCAGUUUCAACUCUGACAUCUCCAUGUCUUUAUCCAAAUUUCACCAUACAAGCCUUAUUGACAACACAACUCCACUUUUUCCUGAUACUCUUUGCUGCUCAUAUGUAUCCCUGCUUACAAUUCGUAAAAAUACUAGAGUUGAAUUUAGCUGAUGACUUCUUGUGCUAUUCUGCUCAUCAGAUUCAUUAUCCACUUUCCAGGUACUGAAAAACAGGCAGAAAUUGUUGAAGAGAGCAUUAAACAUGCAAGGGAAGCUAUUGCUCUUGAUGUCAGGGAUGGAAAUUCCUGGUGUGAGUUUCUAUUAUAAGUCAAAUUCUUCUGUACUUCCUUUUCUAAUUUAUUAGUUAAAGAUCUGGUGUAGGGUAUUCGCAUUGCUUGGCAGAGCGCAUGCUUUAAUUUGAGCAUUUGUUUGUGAAACUGAAUGUUAGCUGUAAAACCUGCCUACUGACAACUAGAGUAGUCCUUGUCUUCUCACUUAACAUUCCAAAUCAACAUGCAUGCUUGUGUGGACUCUGGCAUCAGUGAAUGGUUAGGACUGAAAAGUGUUGAUUCAGCCUUCAUCUGAAGCAAAGAUCUGGAGACAUGGGAGAGUAUUACCAACUUCUAAUGCUGAGAUUUUGCAUAAUGAUAACUUUAACCCUUCAAUUCCUGUCCAUCUAUCGUGUGUUUAAUAUGCUUUGUGCUUGAUAAUGUUGACAUUUGAUAUACAAGAUGGCCUUUUUAUGCUUAUUCAAGUCAUAUGCAAUAUUAUUGUCUGAUGUUGACAGGAGACUUGAUGCAUUCUUGAAGAGUCUCUAAGACAUGCUGUGGGUGUAAUCAACAUACUCAUUGUUCUCACCUACCAACCCUUAAAAAGUAGAACUAAAAAGAAAAGGGAGACUUAAGAUGGUAAAAGCUAGAAACACAUGGUACUGAUAGAUUUCCUUUUAUUUCAGGAUUAUGGGUACCUUGUUGUUGAGAGACCAAGAAUAAUCAUGCCUAUCUACCAGACAUUUUGAGCAUACAGCAGUUCUAUGGCUAAUAGUUACAUAUAUUGUUUCAUGUUUUCAUCUUUGGCAGAUAACCUAGGGAAUGCAUGCCUAACCUCUUUUUUUGUUACCGGAGCAUGGGAUCACAGUAAACUUCUGCAGUCACUGAAAGCAUAUCAAAAUGCUGUAUGUAUGAGAUAAUAACUUAUACAUCCUCCGCGUGAUGUAUUUCUACCCUCUGAAUUGUUAUUAAGCCUGUAAAAUAUUUCCAUUCUGCAUAUCAGGAGAGAGAUGAGACAAUGAAAUCCAGUCCAGACCUGUAUUUCAAUUGUGCUACUGUAAGUAUUUGUUCAACACUUUAAAUCUUUGCUUUUCUUUAAGUUUGUGUGAUUCUUUUUGUGCUUUCUAGCUUUUUUUUUUUUAUAAUAAUCUAUAAAAGUUACACACAGGACCUAAUUGAAUGAAUAAUUAUAGCUGUGAUUCUCAAACUUUAACUGACAAGUUUCAUGAAUUAUGCGGAGGACAGAAAGUAGUACUCGCUUUGUAUUAGCAUUAAAGAUGCUUUUCAAAAUUCCAUGUUUUUGUGUAAGGUAGCUCAUCUUGCUUGGUUUCGAGAUCUUAUUCCAGCUUUGCCCAAAACAUUGUCAUUUUUAAGUCAUCUAUGUCUUUUAAGUUCCGAAAAUGUUUGUAGUGGGUGUGAUUUCAAGCUUUGAUGAGAUGAAACUUUUGAUUCUUGGAGAGGUUAUAACACGCGGAGUGACGAACCCCAAAGUUGAUUGUUAUUUGCAUCUUGUGCAAUAGUAAGAUUCCUUUGGGGUCCCAUGUGGUCAGUUUUGCUCCUUUAAAGACCUCAUUUGUGGGUAACUUUGGAAGUACGCAAGGAAAAAAUUAGUGAUUCGAUUUUUGGGUAGUCAAAAAGGAUGUCAUUUGGAAGUUACAAACCAAAGUUUUGAGCUUUUGUAUUAACCUGCAGUAGCCAUGAUGUUAAUGGUCAGCUAACUAGCUGUCUUGGAGAGAGGAAAACAAAAUACUGAAGUAAUGGAACAAAGCCAGUGAAGAUGCAUCAGUUUCACAAAAAAUUAGAAGUUGACAGUCAGAGAGGAAAGCUUUAGUUUACUAGUUUAGACAACCUCUGGAUCAAAUUUUGGCCCUCUGAUACCUUUUUGUGUAAAAAAGGGCUAUGUAAUCACAAUAUUGACCAUAUUCUUGAGUUCUGUUUACCAAGGAUCAGCCAUCAGUGGUAUCAAGUAUGUACUCUUAAAACUCAUGCUUUAGUCCAUACUCCAGCUAACUUUAAUUCCAGAAUCAUUUAGUUUUUGGCUUGAACAAUGUCUAGACACAUAGCUGGGAGAUCUCAUCAGAAAACAGUUUGGCAUAUUUUUAACUGUUUUUGUUGUUCAUUUCCUCAGCUUGUAAUUGUUUUGACCAAGAAGUUUAAUGCUUUUACAAAUUAUUUUCAUUCGAAUGAAAUUCCGUGAAUACUUAUUUCUUUCUGUUAUCAUUUAAUUUACCAGUUAAAAUUAAAAUGAAAUUUUGUUAGGAGGCUUCUAUUGAAGUUAAAAUUGCUUUUACAUUCAUGAAUUUCCCCUGCAGUGUACAAUAUCUGCAGAUGUGGAACGUGUUUGAACUUCCACUGGGUCUAGUUAAACUGAAUCUAUUCUUCACUCUGCUUUUGUAUGCUUGUAAAAUUUGAAUCUGUAUUCUUUCAUUGUAAAAUGCAUUUGAAUUCAUUACUUGCAUCUGCUUUGCUUCUUUAUAAUGUAGAUGCUAAGAAGGAAUCAGUGUUUGACAUGGCUGAGAAUUAUUCAUUCAGGUGAACAAAUAUUUAGAGAACUAUGAGAGAGCCCUUACUGGAUUUGAAGCGGCUGCCUUGAAGGAUCCUGGCUUAAAUGCCACGGAGGAAGUUGAGAAGAUAGUUCAUCUUCUUGACAAAUUGGAGAGUUUGCUAAAGGUUAGUUGUUUGUCUCCAUGAGGUAUAAUAAAUAUUUGGACCACAUUGAUGCUGCUCAAAUAAACCUCAUUUCCUCUUGCUUAUAACACUGUUGGUUUGCUUGUAUUUAAAUAUUUUACAAUUUCCUGAUGAGUGAAAAGAAGAAGAAAAUUUUAGAAGCUAAGGAAGAAAUUAAAAUCUGCUCAAAAUGAUUAAGCUUUGAGUUGAUCAAAAAUUAGUUAUGGAAAGAAGUCUAAAUUAUCAGUUGAUGAUAGUAUUGAUUCCGAAGGAGCUUGAUCAUAAUGAUGAUAACGUAUCUAGCCAGUAAUGUCAAAUGUGGAUAGAUUAAUAAUGAAAAUUCUAGUGUUCGUUUCUUGCAAUUAGUUCCAUUCAGUGAUUAUAAAUAUGCUUGUUUAGUAGAAUAGAACGUGGAGUCUUUGCACCAUGAAAUUGGAAGUAUUUUGUCAUGCUGAUAAUUGCUACUUUUUCUCUCUUUAUAUCCCACAUGCAUACUGCGCAAGUGAAUUAUCAAGUUCAACUGGGUACAUGGGUCAGAACAAGAAUACCUGUAUGUAGAUUUGAACAAAGCUAGUGCCACCAAUAAAUAAGAUGGAUAUGUUUAUAUACAGAGAAGAGUAGGGGCUGGAUUUAGCAGACGCUAGUUGGAGCAUGGUUUGUGUUUGAAGUUAAGCAUUAUUAUCUUAAGAAAUCCAUCUUUGACUACUUGCUGGGAAAAUUUUAUAUCCGCAAUAUACCUAGGGUGGAUCGUAGAGUAAUCUGGUUGUUCCAGAAUGCUCAUUUCCCCUACAAGGGGCAAACUUGGUAAGGGCCAAAUAGUAGGCUUAGCCUAUAGGACCAGAGCACACAGUAAACAAUUUGAUCAAUCACACCACCGUCAGGUUUGACAGUCAUUUUUAUUUAUGAUUAUAAUUCUUGUUGAUCUAAGCAUUUGGCAUGAAUUCUAAAUAUUAUUUGUGACGCUCAAAAUGAUAACAAUGUAACUGUGGUUUGUUCAUUUUUAUGCUCUAUUAGAACAGAUAGCUGAGCAUUGCAUUUUGAGGCAUGCAGACAUUUCCAAUUCUAAUAUGUUUUUGUUUUAUAGGGACAAACUAAGGCUAAGCGACUUGCUUCAUUGGCGUCAUCACUUUCCACUGUAAAUGGUAUGCCAGAAUACUGAUUCUACACAUGUCCUGAAAAAAAUGUUUGUUCAACAUGUUUACGUGAUGACAGAACAUGCUUGAAGUUGCAACUUGAUACAUGCAAUUUCAAUCAUUUGUUGUCUCCUGUGAUUAAUCCAUGUUAAUUUUUUUUAUUUUCCUAUCUGUAGUAAAUCCUUCAUAUAUUCAAGUCAGUGUGGAUCGUCUAGCAGAAGGUUUAAAUAAAGGGGUUGCCGUCGUGGGAAAGGUUCUAUACUUUAUUAAACACCAAAACGUGGCUCCAUUGUGAGUACUUAGCUAGUUUACUUCUCUCCAACUAUUUUGCAUAACAGUUGAGUUGCCACACAGUUUCACUUUGAAUUGCACCAUCCACAUGUUUACGUUCAAAAGCAUGCCAUUUUUUUUUUUUUUUUUUUCCGUUUCUGAGAUGUAUUAUAUUGCAGAUACUAUUUGCUGUGUGAUGCAAAUCAAAUAUGCUAUGUGUUAUCAGUCUAUGGGAUACGUGAUGAUGUGGUAAGUUUUGCCUGGCAAUGAUGAAAGCAUCUUUAUAAAGGAAAAAGUUGAUAUUUCACUUGAGUUACAUUUUUCCCUACUGAAAGAAGCCUAAUAAUUUGUCAUGUGAAUAAUGUUUCUAAAUUUCCCGAACAGCCUUAAUUUCUUUGUUUGUUUAAUUUUCUUUGGCUUGUGGUUUGAGUUGAAAGGGGUAGACAAGAAAAAAGGAUGGCUCUACUUGAUUCAUUCCCUCUGUGGUCUCUCUUAAAGUUAUAGGAAAUAUUGUCACAGAUUUUAAUCCAUGAAUUAUGUUUAUUCAAAACAAAUUAGGGAUGCUUACAACCAAGAAUGCAUUGUCCUUGCUAGUUUUCCCUUUCACCAUGUGGUUGAUUAUGACUCACCUGCAGGCCAAUGAAGUUAACCCUCUGAAGUUAUUAAAGAAACUCCCCCUCCCCAUUCUGCCUCUGUCUGUGUCUCUCACUCACGUGUAGGAUGGAAAGUUUCCAGCCAUGCUCUCCUUGUUUCACAUGAUCCCAAUCCCAUAUUCAUCUAAUGAUAUGUUCAUUGCAGGUUAAAGAAGGAGACCAGAUCAUACUGCUGAGUCCCUAUUUCCAUAAUGUUGAUUUCUCUUGGAAUGGAAAGGUGUGCUCUUGACACUUUUUGUCACCAAAAUCAAUCCAUUUCUCAUCAUCAUUUGAUUUUGGAAAAACAUUCACGUUUCCUUUCUACAGCAAUGAAAAGACUGAUUCUGCUAAUAUCAUCAAUAAUGAUAUUGUCUCAGUAGCUAGUAAAGUUGGUCGUAUAAAAUAAUUACCAUUUGUAUGGUUGAUUUUGUAUCAGGUCUACCAGUUCAAAUCAGUACGUGUAGACUUCUUGGAGCAAAUGCUUGUUAAUGGAAAAGCUUUGUCUCAUAGCCAUGCAGUUCGAGCAUCGAUCUAUGCACAACAUAAGCCUUGAGAUUGCUUUUCAUUAUUGUUGUGGAUGUUACAUGUGUGAUUUAUAGUGGAAGUCAAGAUAAUCCUGCCGCGAACGAUGUGUCUUUUGUAUAUAGAACUGCAGCACAGAGUAAAGAAAUUUGCGCAUGUAACAUCGUGAAUUCUUCUCUCUUGUAUCCGUUUUGAGUCCUUGAAUUUGUAACCAUGACAUGAACCAAAGGAAAGUGGUAAAGAGAGAACAUGAAGGAAGAAAGCGAGGCCAGUGGUUCAUGAUUGCAGGGUCUGUGCUGCGAUUAUUGAUGAUGAAUAUGUACAAAUUGCAAAGGGGAGAGGUGGCAUUUUUUUUUUUACCUUAAAACUUUUUAUAUUUAGCUGCAAAGAGGUUUUUUUCCCCUAUUUUCUUCCAAUUGGCCACUAUGACUCUUUGGGCAGGCCCAAAUUCCCACACCUUCCAAUUCAAAAAAUUCAGUCCGAUCUAGGUGGGCCUUUUUCUAGUCUCACAUAAUCGAGUUAGGUCCUCUAUCCAUGACUAUAGUUGUUGUCAUUUGUAAAUAAAAAAUUUAAUCUCGUCCAUUAAAAGUAGGCAGUAAAAGAAUGUGGAAAACUAUGGUAUGUAAAUAGUAAGUCAAUAGAGCUGGGGAGGGAUGGGUUGGGUGAUUUAGCAGAAGAAGUAUAAGUGAGAGUUUUCUAAUAGUACACCACGGCUUCACAUCUUCACAACUCAACUCAUUUUGGGUCUUCUUGUUAUUUGAGGAAGAAAUUAAUAAGUUAUUACGUGACAAACUAUAUUAUUAAUUAGGACCUCUGCGGUAUAUGCAUGCAUUUGACGUCUUUUUCACCAAAACAUUAAAAAAAAAAAAAAAAAAGGCACAACGCGAGUGAUUGAAACAUACGCUUGACACGAUUUUCACGGGGUUGUUUGGUGUAUCUGCUUUAGUUUCUGAUUAAGAAUGCUGAUUCUUCAUUAUAAUAAUGCCUGUCAUCAAAAGGACUUAAAAUAAAUCGACUGUACUAAGCCAUGAUAAGGGAAGAGAGAUAGAUCGAUAGAUAGGGAAAAUGGCUGAAGCAUGUGCCAUGAAGGGAGGAGAUGGACCUCAAAGCUACGCCCAAAACUCAUCCUAUCACAUAGCAAGUUUUCUUUUGUGGGUCUUUCUCACUUUUAACUUUUCUGGGAAAAUGUAUUUUUUUUCUAUUUAUAUUCACUUGGUUUAUAAUUGACAAAAGAUUUUAAUGCUAAGGCCUCUAUUGUUUCAAGCCUUUGUUAGACUAGAAUCGUUUAAAGGUAUUGCAGAUAAAGCUCAUUAGACGUGCCUUAAGGCGUGCAGAUCUGAGGUUGAGGGAGAUUUUGGUUGAAUAAUAAGGUGGGAGAGAUUACAAGUAGAAUAUUUUUCAUUCAAAAUCGGUGUGUAAAUCUUUUAUAGUAAAAAUUGAUUUUUUUAUGGUAAGUGGUUGAUGAUUGAAACUUGCGACUUGUUAGUUAUAGAUUGAAAAAAGCUGAUUUUUUAAAAUGUAUAUUUCUUCUACUUUUUGGGUUGCAGGAAGGAGCAAUAGACGUUGAAAAAUAAAUUAUCAACAAAGAAAUUGACCCAAAAAAAAACUUGAUGUUGAUCAACUUAAGUGAAGAGCUUAUACAUGUCAAACAAUUUUAAUAGAAAAUAUUUCGAGAAAAAGAACACGGCCCACUUAUUAUAAUUCUCAUGACAUUAAUUUUAGUGAAUUUGGCCCUGAACGAUACCUCUACAGUAAGUUACAUUUGGUCACAGAAAACCAGUACAACUUUGUGGGGUGGUCUACCGAUUGAUUUUUUUUUUUUUUUGUCAACACAGGGUGUCCGAGUCAAUUCUUACGGGUCCGGGUCAACACAGGGGUGGUCUACCGACUGAUUGUCUUGCCAUUUUUGUGGUUGCUAACUAUUACAAUUGUCGUAAUGCUAUCCGGAAAUGGCCAAAAUACAAACACUUAUCUGGAAAUGGCUAGCUAGUAUAAAUCACUCCAUCCUUUUGGGCAGGGAAACCAAGACAUGACAAGGGAAGAGAUAUAGUGAGAUUAAAUGCGUGUGCUUUGUGCCAUGAAUGGAGGAAAUGGACCUCAAAGCUAUGCCCAAAACUCAUCCUAUCAGGUAGUUUUUUUUUUUUUUUUUUUUUGGGUUUUUACAGAUUUGUAUUCAAUUAAUUUAAAGACAAAGGAAUUUCAAGCUUUAGGCCAGUAAAAUAAUAGACACUGCAUAUGGUACAAUGAUCAUUCGACGAGUCUUUAAGGUUUGUAAUAUAAGGCUUGUGUCCUAAAGCUCAUCUAUUAUUUAUUUUUUUUCCCCUUAUGGUUGCAGAGAGGAGCAACAGAAGUAGCAAAAGAAAUUCUCAAAGAAGAAAUUGACAAAAAGCUAGACAUCAAACAACUUUCUUCAACCUCUAUGGAUCCAUUUUGCAUAGCAGAUUUUGGCUGCUCCACAGGACCAAAUACAUUUGUGGCAAUGCAAAUCAUCAUUGAAGCCUUGGAGGACAAAUUCAAAAAAGAGGGACUAACACCUGAAUUUCAAGUCUUCUUUAAUGACCUUGUAUCUAAUGAUUUUGACACACUUUUUGCUUCACUUCCGCCAGAAAGACACUACUGUGCAGCUGGAGUGCCUGGUUCUUUUCACAGUGUCAUGUUCCCAAAGGCGAGCCUUCAUUUUGCUUAUUCAUCUUACUCGCUUCACUGGCUUUCAAAGGUGCCAAAAGAGGUUACAGACAAUACGUCUCCUGCAUGGAACAAAGGAAAGAUUCACCAUGGCGGUGCCAAAAGGGAAGUUCUUGAUGCCUAUGCAUCUCAAUUUGCCAAGGACUUGGACUCAUUCCUGAAUGCAAGGGCACAUGAGCUCGUGGAUGGAGGCCUGAUGGCACUUCUUAUACCUGCUGCUCCUGAUGCUAUUCGUGAAUCUCAUACCAGUACAAUCACAGAGGUAGAAUGUGAAGUUCUAGGAUCUUGCUUGAUGGACUUGGCUAAGAAGGUGAGAUUUUAGCAUUCUAGUUAGUUUUAGACACUGGCGAAAUCAGAAGUUGAAAUUUGGGUGGAAGACUAGUAAAGACAUAUAAUUAUAUAUAUAUAUAUAUAUAUAUAUAUAUAUUCUCAUUCUUUUAUUUUUAUUUUUUUACCUUCCAACAUAUUUAUUUAUUUCUCUAAUUUUUUGUCAAAAAAUUGUACAUGAAUAUGUUUCAUGCUCUUUUUGAAUGUUAGAAUAUUAUGCUUUUUUGUCCUUUUUCAUUUUCUCAUAGUUCAAAUAUUUAAUAUAAAUAAUUAAUAGUUGUUAAAUAAUUAUGACAUCACGAGUCAAUUAAGGUUCGUCCAACGAACGAUUGAACCAGCCAUCCUUGAUCCAAUAAUUUUUUCUACUCGUUAAAAAAAAAAAAAAGAAAAAGAAAAUCUAACUACCUACUGUAUCCAUUGCAGGGAGUAGUGGACGAAGUGAAAGUGCAUAUGUUCAACUUGCCAGUAUAUUUCACAUUUCCCAAUGAGCUAAAGGCACUGCUGAAGGCAAAUGAAAAUAUGGACGUCCAGAGAAUGGAGAUACUAAACAUUCCAGGAAAGCAAGUGCUUUUUCCCAACCCUACUGCAAAUGUUUUGUACCUGAGAGCUGUCUUACAAGGAGUUUUGGAGAAGCAUUUUGGAAGUGGAAUCGUGGAUGAAUUGUUUGAACUGUAUGGACGAAAAGUUGCAGACUCUUCUUUUUUCUUUGAUCCAGAAAAUCAAGAUCUGAUCGUGAUUUUUGUUCUGCUAAGGUGAAAAAUGAGAACAUGAAUAAGUUAAUAUUUAGAGUACCAUUUUUAAUAAAAUGUGCAAAUGAGAGUUAAAUGUCUAAAGCCAUAAAAAAAAAUUUUUUUUUUUUGGCAAGUAGAAGUUUAAUAUGUCCCGUACUACAUGUGCUGCAAUUUAGUUUUAUCAUUUAGCUACAAAGGAUCGUGAAUACGAUCACUUUUGCCAACCAAGAAAAAAGAUGGACCAAUUUAUAAGGCAAGCUUUUUGUUCAUCACAGACUCAAUAGACCAAUUUAUAAGUUGAUAAAAACAAAAAAAAAUUAUCUACCUACAUUGGUUCGUCGUCCCUGCUCCAGGCGGGAGAAAAUAAAAAAGGAACUACAAAAUACACAUACUAUGGGCAAUAGAAUUGCAAAUAUGACUAUUGUCUGUAGUAGCCACUCUGGUUAGGAGGAUAUGGGGGUUGGACCGUGUAAGGGGGCCUAGGCAUGGAUCCUGGUUGAGGAGCUGCAUUAUAGUAUGGACCACGCCAUCCAGGAUAGGCAGGCUGGCCAUACUCAUGGGUAACAGGAGGCUGCUGUUGAUGCUGUGGGGGUGGGUAUGGAGAACCUGAAGCUGGUACGUGAUAAGGAGGUGGUACUUGUUGUGGCGGAGAGACAUAAGGGGAAGGAGAUUGAGCAUAUCCGGCCAUUGUUGGCUGCUGCUGGGGCUGGUAUGGAGGAGUUGGUGGAUGUGAAGGGUUGGACACAUGCACAGGUUCUGUGUGCUGUUGGGAGUUUGGCCUUGGAGUCUGAUGGGGCUGUCCAGCUGCAGGAUAACUGUAACCACCCGUACUCUUGUUAUCCUGAAAACUGAGACCUGCAAUGUGUCUCUGAACAUCUUCAAUCAUCUCCCGGCACUGAAUGUUCCUUGUCAUCACAAAAUCACUACACUGUUGCUUUAUAUUUGUGAUAGCAUCCUGUUUAACAGAAAAAAUUGAGCGUCAAUAAACAAAUUUUGAAUCGAUUACCAAACGAAAAACAGAAAAAAUGAAAAAAAAAAAAAAAGGGAUUCAUGAACCCCUCACCUUUAAUGUGUUUAAAAUUUUGGUUAACAGCCAUGAAUUAAUUGUUAAUAUACAGAAUCAAGCUCAACUUUCUUUGGCAUUUUAAAUUUGUGUAUUUGUCAAUGUAGAGCCAAAUGUAUCAAGGGUAAAGCUUCAUGAACAAUAUUACCUUAUAUUUAGUUAUCAAAACUACAACAGCCUUAAGUAAUAUAUGGGCAAGGCUAAAAAAAUGUAUAUAACUAUCCACUUAAGCCAAAUACGGCUAUACCAGCCAGUUCUCUCUAGCUGCUAAACCAUACUAUGGAGGAAUGAAUAAUGUAAAAGAUAACAGACUCACAUAACUCUGUUUGUGCACCAUUUUUUUUUUUUAAUUAGCUAAAUCAGUGAAUGAAGGGAGUGCCAACUGUUUGUUCAUCAUUAUUUUUGAAUAAAAAAUAUGAAAUUCAAGCUUCAAAUGGGUAAGAAUGACUUGAAAAAUAUAUAGGGCCAAACUCAUGAAGGAAAAGCUCAAACCUGAAGAGUAACAUAGAACUUCAGUCCUUCAUUUAUGUUCUCCUUAAUUUCUCGAUACUUAGCUAUUGCAGCUUCUAUUUGCUUGUAGCUCUUCUCUCGAGAAGCUGACAAAUUGAAACAUGGAUUCAGGCAUGAAAGCGUGAGCAACAGAAAGCAAUAUUGAGGGCAAAUUUAGAUGGGAAAAGCACUGAUUUUAGCUUGCAUCAAGUGCUAGAGCUGAACUUUGUAAACCAGUAAAGCAAGAAGGAAGUGCCAUAGCAGUAAGAAGUCAUAACAAUGAGUCAACACUACCUGUCAGGACGAUAACAAUAGAUUCUUGUUUAUUGCAGCAAUUAGACCUUAAGACUAAACUAAGGGAUGAAAAACUCGGCUCAAACUAGAUCCUACAAGCUGUGCACCAAGAAGGGUGCCAUCAGAAUUUAAACCAAGUACCUAUACGCCUCUCCACAUUCAAUACCCCAAAUUCCCAAUUAACAGACAGUUGGUAAAGGACAAUAGGCCAUAGUCCAAUUAUAUGACAUAUUAAUUCAUGCUAGUAAUGAGAAAAAGACAAUCAAAAUGGCAAGCUACUUUUCAGCACAUAUAUUAGAACCUGCUUUUGAGUCAUUUAGUCUGCUUCCGUGAGCAACAUCACAAAUUAUUGGUGAGAAAAAUUAUAAGCAUCAUCGUUGAUAGAGAAAAAGGAUACUUGAGUUUGAAAAAUCUAGCAAUUUCCAAGUAAAACAGAAAUAAGGGCUCGACAGGCAAAUUCCUCAGCCAAAUGAUAUCUAACUUACCACAAUUCAAAAACAUGUCUAAUUCUAAGAGGAAAACCAUGUACCAUUACCAAGUAAAAGCCACCCUAGUUGCAGUGCCAGUCAACUUAAUAGGUUAAAGCACCCUCUGCUAGACGUUUAUCCACAGCUAUCAUGAAAAGCAUGAAAUGUAGUCUAGAACUAUGAUUCCACUAUAAACCCAGUAACAAACACCACCAACCAUAACACCAUACCCUCAUAACAAACAUGAACAGAUGUGAAAAAGCCUAAUGCAAAGAACAUAAAGCAGAACAAACCUUUGAAAUCUUCAAGAUUAAAAACUGCUGCAAAGUUAUCAUUUUGAACCUGAGGCAAAAUAAAGACAAUUAGAACAAGAGGUUCUCAAACCACACCUGCAGCAUCUAAGAACGUUCCAAUUAGGACAGGCAAAUUAUUAAAUCAACAUCUACUCUGAUUUACAUUUUCAUUUAUCCAUGCCUCACCUCCAUGAGGGCAAAUUACCCUAACAAAACUGAAAAGUCAAUAUUUUGCAAAGCAAGGAGAGAAACAAAAUCUAUCAAAAUCUUGAUUUUUAAAUGCUGAUUUCCCUCCACAAGAAUCAUCAAUUGUCAAACUUACAACUCUCUGGACAGUUUAUUAUAGUACACCAUGUUAUCCCAUCCCCAGAGAAGCCUUAAUCGUCAAGUUGAUAAAUUUCACAGUAAAUUCACUUCUCAUUUCUGGAAAGGGAAAAAUUAACCUUGUCCUAAUAAACACAAACCAUAUGCAUAGUACUCAUAGCAUACCAAAUCAGAUCAUCAGGCAGCCAUAACUACAUCUUUCUGAUCAUUAAGUUUCAUCUUGUCAAAACUAGGAAGAGAAAAUUAGGGGGGGAAAAAACGAGUGUCAACAAAAGCAUGCCAAUGGCUUAAAAGUCACUUAAAAGUGGUCAAACAAAUAAAUGUAUUCUUUUCUCUUUUUCUGGUCAAAUGGAUGUUCAUCUUGAUGCAUGUCAAGGCACCAACAGUACACUGCUCACAGCAAAGAUAAAUGUUAAAAAGAAGCACGGCGAUUUCAUCCCUGCACUUGGCUGGUGUAAGAACCACAGGGUUGAUGUUGGACUCAGUAUUAGUAUCUAAUGUUCUAAACAGCACCCGACUGACAAACAGAAUGAACGUCCAAAAUGCUUUAUUUCAUCUCUUUACCACAUCAAAGGGUACCAAACAACAUCAACAGAGUAGAGGAAUUACAUAUGAUACCAAUAGAACCUCAAAGAAAUGCUUAGCGGUGAAAACUGCCUCUAAAAUACUAACAUUAUUGUCAAUAGGCACCAGGGACCCCAUCGAGAUAUCAAUAGUUUAAGAAAAUACCGAAGUACCUGAAUAUGCAUCAACAGCUGUUCUUGUCCCUCAACAUUUUGCGCAAUUUCUUGACAAAUAUGAUCAUACUUUGCAAUUUCCUUCCUAUAGAGAUCCUCAUGCGAACCAGUCGACGUCAUCAACUUUGGUAGUAUGUCAUCCUGAGCCACAAAAAGAUAAGCACAAGUCAAAAGUAACAUAACAUUAGCAUGAGAACAGCAUGACAGAUAGAAAUGACCACCCUCCGCAUAGAUGUUUAAUUGUAAUUUUCAGAACUACAAUAAUUUCUCAGCUUAUAUCAGCAUAAGGGAAGUUAUAAAUAAGAGAAUAUGGCACUAGAGUAAUACAAGUCAAUAAAUAAAGAUGAUCUCACUAAUUAUAUCUAAGCUAAUGGGAGGCUAAUCUAGUUACUACAUUUCUUCUUGGAUAUAAACAGGAGACUUAUACUUUGGCACUUGAAAACAAGUUCACUAGAAAAGUAUACAAGAAAGAAUUUCUGUUAAGGAAUGAAUUCACCAGUAAGCAACAAAGAGACUGGUAACAGUAGGCAGAACUCUAACAGAAAGAUAAGUGAAAGCAGCAUGGCAAAAGAAGACUUCAAAUAGUUGAUAGUUCAGAACAAUAUCUGUUCAAAGAUGGUCUAAACAGCUAAACAAAUUGAAUAUGAGCGAGUUAUCCUCUGUACCUUCCUCUUCAUCUCUUUUAGCAUGUCUUCAAGACCUGCCCUCUGAGCACCAAGAGUCUCCAAUUGCCUCUGCAAAAAGAGCAAGGUUGCAUUUAUAGUUUCAUGGGAAAAUUAGUUCGGUGAUACAGUCAAUCAGAGUCUUUCAAAGUAGAAUUGAUACUUCACGCAAUAAAAAGGGAGAUGUAGCUUCUUUCAUCAUGAAAACUUUCAUUUGACUUUUUUUCCACCUUGAAACAAAUAGAAUGACAGAUGCACUUAUUUCACAUGUAGUUUUACAAAGAAUGAUUUCAAAAGACCACAAAGUAGUACCGACAACUUCUUCCUUCCUUGUCAUUGUUAUAUUCAUAAUAGAAUGAUGUUUUUAGUACUCCAUUAUACUUUCUCAGUCUACAAACCAAUACAGUGAUCCCAAAUUCUUAAGGAUCCAUCUGUAAACGAAGUCAAAGAGAAAUUGACAGACUUAAUAAGACCAAAGAGGUGUAUCUUGAAAAGCUGAUUCUCCUCAGCAUCAUAUUUUAAAUUCUUUAUUCAUUUCAAUCACAAUGAAAAAACUUCAACGUGAACAUGCCCUAUUGCCUAACAGAGAUUAGAAGAAAUUAGUGAAGUUCCAAAGGUCAAUUUGUUGACAUGAAUUGCAACUAAAUAUAUGUCCAGAAGACUUAAUAAUCUUCAAAAAACACAACAAAUAGAUUUUACACAUUACUAACUCAGAAUUAAAACACAAACAAAACCAACUUACCAAGCUCUGUUUCAGGGCUCCCACUACAGCAUCUUCAUUUGCAUCUAAUGACAUUAUGGGCCUUGACAGCGAGGGUAAUGCAGAUUCAAUCUACCAAAGAUAAAAUGCACAGAAAAGAAUCAAAUUCCUGUUACUUCACAGAAAGUGCUCAAAGAAAAACUCGAGCAUUAGAAUUAUGGGUCCAUUCUAAUUCUUAGUAUUAGAUUUUGCUUUUCACACCCACUUCCAGCUUCCAAAAAAAAAAAUACCUCUCCAGACUUGAUUUGAAGAUGAUAAUUCUCCUUCAUAGAAUUUCUAAACAUAUAAAUCUUCAGAUGUUACAUGACCUUUUUCACUAAUCACAUUUUUUCCUGUCCAUUAAAAUUAAGGCAAGAACAAGAAGCAACAGAUAACUAAGCACUUGCUGCAAAAAGGGGAAAACUAAUAAACAUCAAUUCAGACAUAAUGCAGUUCCAAUUUCAAAGCCAAGCAGCCACACAACACUCCUUAUGGGAAACAGAACAUAGGAAUUUAUAAGCUCAAUAUUAACCUAACCCCUAGCUAAAUAUCCAUGAAAUCAGAUAAAAGAUUUAUAAAAUCAUGCAAGUGGCUAAAGGAACUUCAGUAUUACCAUCAGAGUAAUUAAAACUGCACAAACUUCAAAACCAUUAAGAGAGGGGGGGGGGCUACUGAAGGAUUUCCAAGCCCAUAAAAGAUUUCAAGCAAUAUAUCAAUCAUACAGCAACCGAAGUCAUACAAAUUAACCUAAAUCAAAUAAAGAAGCAUACUGGGCGAUGAUCAAGGAUUGACAUUAGUGCCGAAUGAUCUCUCACAGAUCGCUCUAUCCGUCCAUCACUUUCUGCUGCCUGCUUCAAGUUCGCAGCAAACCUAUUAAGCCGAUCUAGCAAGUUCUUUGUUAAAGUACUAGAUUGUGGUCUAGUCCACCGUGUUCCAAAUUGGCUUCUGAACUGUGCAUCUUCUGUUGCCUCUUUUUGCAGGAGCUCCUCUGUCUGCACCAACAAUUCUUGGUCCACCCUCCUCAAAUCUUUAAGUUGCUGUAACUCACCCUCUAAACCAGCUGGGCCCCCACAAACUUGCACAGCCUCUACAUCUUCUUUAAGAUCUGUUGGAAGAGUGGAAUUCCCUUCCAAAGCAAGAAUAGAAUCGGGUAAGUCCAUCUCCUUCAGCCUCACUCGGGCUAGCUCACUUGCCUGUUGUAAUUUCUCAGCUUGCAUCCUGAUAAUGUCAUCAACCAUUUCUGUAUAUCUUGAAAGAGAUUUUGCACUGCUAUCAGGAACAAGCCUCACAAACAUUUUCUCCUUGCUUGCAUCCAACACCUCAUUCAUUGGCAUAGGCUUCACCAAUGAAAAAGCAGGAAGUGGCGGCAAAGAACUGGCAGUAGGAACCCUCAUUAAGUAGACUCUUUCAUUCUCCUUCACAGCCCUCUCCAAGUUGCGGUUCAGGGUUGAUUCUAAUUUGGUCAUUGCAUCCAGAAGCUGCUGAGCUGCCCCCCUUGGACAUGAUUUCUUUGCCUCAGUCAAUGCAGCAACCCCACUCUUCAAACGGGCAAUCUCCUCAGCUAUCUCUUCCUUCUCAUGGAGCUCCAAACUGUACCUGUAGCAAGCCUCUGCAUAAAACAAGGCUGCUUUAAGCUGAACAUGAGCUAGCCAGUUCUUAUCAAAGUGCUGGUUGAGAGGUGCAACAUUCAGAGCUGCCAGACCCUCCUCAUAAUAUAGUCCAACCUGUAACACCACAACAUGCGACCUCAACUUUGCAGUCAUUGCCAAUUAUGUGAACCCAAAACAUGUGAACUAUAGUAAAGUAACCAUUUUCUAUCAAAAGAAUUUACGUAUUAAUGGACAUACUAAAUUAAGAACAAUCUGCAAAUAUCCAGUAAUGGCACACAUUCAAUAAUAAGAUCAUUAGUAUAUGGGCGACAAAAACAGUCAUUAUGAAUGGAAAGAAUAAAAAAAUUGGAAAAGUUCUCAAGUUUCACCAGGUGUAAGGACAUAUGGCAUUCAUAUUAUUGAAGAAUCAAGGUCAAUGUAAUCUUUUGACUGAACAGAUCAAAAGGUGAACAAUAAACCAAUAUGCAAAACUUGAAUGCCUUUGUAUAGCUCCUUUUUUUAUUCAAUUGACCAAAAAAAGAAAGAAAAAUUCCUCUAAUGGGGACAUUUUCCAGUCUAUUCUUCUUGCGUUUGUUCAGAAAGAAUUCCAUCUGCUGAAGCAUUAUUUUAGUGACUGAUAAAUCGUUAGCAUUUGCAAUACCUGUACUUCGAAAUAGUUUCAACAAGAAAAAUACCGAAAAAGAGAAAGACCAAGACAUAGAUGGUCUCAGUUUAGUUACAAAAGGAAAGUCACUGCAACCAAGGUUAUUGAGCCAAAAUCACCAGUUAUACGUUAUUGCAAAAUCUUUAGCAAAUUUGCACACCAUACUUGUAUAUCAAAUAUUUGGACAGCCAAAUUUCAAAUAAAAGGUAGCUAAGCUCCCAAAAAUCCCUAAAUACCUGUCUGGAAAUCUUUGCACAAACCCCAGGAGUGUUGCCCUUGGCAAUAGUAUUCUCGAAAACACACUCCUGAGCCUGAGCCAACAUCAGUCUCUCCAGCAUUCCAACACACUCCACUGACACAUCCACAGAUGUUGAGCUACCCAUUGAUGCCUUCAUUGCCACAUUAUCCCUCAAAAAGGCAAAUGCACCAGCUGCUGCUAUAAAAGCAUGAGAUGCCUGCUUUCGCCCAUCAACCCCUGAUCGGUCAAAACUCAGCCCCAUUUGACUAUGGACUGCCCCCAAAUUAAACAACACUGCAGCUUUUUCUAAAUAAUAACCCAAAAAAAAAAAUUUGAUGGAAUGCCAAUUAGUAUGCUACAACUCGCAAGUAAAAUACAAAGCUUCUAUAGAAAAGUCAGAAAUGAGUAAGAUUAACUGAUGGACAAGUCUGCCAAAGACUCGUACCAACCUCCAGAAUAAGAAUAGCAUAACAUAUUCCUUCAAUUCUGCCUAAAAAAUUGUACCUUGCCCUAAAAUCCCAAUCAAAAAGUAAAAGAUAAAAUCAAUCUUUUCAAGAACACUUAACGCACUGUACUUUCUGUAUGCUCUGAUCAUACGAGAAACAAGAAGACCAGAAACAAUUUCAUUUUAUUGUACAGAUUAUCUAUAGUUAAUCCCCUCACAAGAACCAAAACUAAUAUAAAAAUAUGAAAACCUAAACAAAAGUUUGGUAUCCCUGUUUCCUAGCAAAUAAAGAUCAACAUAGAUUUCCCCAAGAGAAAAGGAGUAUAAAAUGUCAAUAUUUUGCCAAACUAAACAACACUACUGAGUCAUUGCAUCUUACACAGAACAUAUUGUAGCACAGCGAAAUGCAAUCAAUCAAACAAGCAAAACAAUAUUUACCUAACUCAAAACAAUAAAGUACUAAAUGACACUACAGAAUACACCUAAAGCAUUGACGGAAUGUACCAUAGCAAAAUCGAACCAAUCCAAAACAAACGAAAAAAAAAAUUGAAAUUUUACCUAAAUGAAUAUUUUGCUGGGCAGCUUUCUGUUUAUUUUUGAACGCAUCAAACCAAGUGAACGUGACCGUACUAAUAUGGUCUUUAUCGGGAGAAAUAGGGAACCUCGACUCCACAGCGCAAAGAGCUCGAUAAUACUUCUGGAGAAGAUCACGCCGCGCCGGGAGAGAAUCGGCCGGAGUAGGGCCACGUUCCAUGUCGGUUCGAAGUUCCUUGAGGGUUUGGAGAUCGUCCUCCAAGUUCUGAGCCUCACGUUCGCCGUAAUUGAUCACUAUGUAGUUCCGCAACGGACGGUAAAGGUCUAAAGAGUUGGUCUUCUUCUCGUAUAUUGCUAGCAUGAUGUUUGUGGUUGCUGCAGCCGUUGACGACGACGGAGACGCCAUGAUCGGCAGUGGUGGGAUAAAUAUUAAGAAUUUCGAUUAAAUCCGGCUCCGCAAUUCUAUUUAUACUGAUUUUUCUGUAGAUAGAUUAAAUUGAUUGAGAAAAUUGGUAGGAUUGAAGUCAAUGGGAAGGUGUGUAAAUUGGCCCCCCGCGGGGUGUUUUGGGGCGUGUGGGAGGUGUUUUGCUUAGUUGGAAAGUAAAGGACAAAACCUUGGGGGAUUUGUGGGGCAAAAUUGAUAAAAGUGAUUAGGAAAGUGAUUAGGGGGCAAGGUUUUGUUCAACUAAGAGUUUAGGGGUUUCAGUGUAAUAUACUUGAUAACAAAAUUAAAAAAUGAAAGAGUUCUAAAUAUAAUUGCUGUUUUAACCUUUUAUUUUUACCAAUAAUCCUAUUUUAAUUUCUAUAUCUUCUACUAAUUGUUAACAUUACUAUGCUCACUUGUUGAAAAUAUAUCAAUUAGAUCACUUGUAGAAUGAUUUAAAGUGGAUAGCCAAAAUAGUCUACAUUAAUUUAUUGUAGCAUAUACGACUUGGUUUGGAUUUUUUUUAUUAGGAAAACUUUAAGAAAAAUAUUAUUAUUGCACUUUUUUUUUUUAAAAAAAAAAGAGGUUCUAUGUAAUAAAAAGUUAAUUGUAAAACAUGCUAAAAGAUUUUCUUUUUUUUUGUCAAAAAAACUUGAAUAACCAAUAUAUUUUAGAUAGAAAUUGAGAAUCAAGAAAAACUUAUUUUAUUUUAUACGUUAUUUAUAAGAUUAUAAGACGUCCUUCAAAAUCUUGAAUUAACCAAUAGUUAAAAAAAAUAAUAUUUUAAAUAAUAUUUUAGAACAACAAAUAGUGGAAUGAAUACUAAAAUAUUAGUCAAAAGAAAUUUAUACACUAUGAAACUAUUUGAAUCAUAACUUCUACGUCUUGGAAUCUCAACCUUAAUGCCUCCUUAAUUACGUACAAAAUAGACAAAAAGAUGGGGAGGCAAAAUAGAACAACUCAGAAGAAUGAGGGCCAAAACAUUAGUUCACCAAACUUCGGAGAAAAAUCCUAACCGGGUUCCGAGUAGUAACAUAACAUUGCAAGGCUGGCUGACCGGGUUAGCAGUAGCAGAGGAAUCCGGUCCAUGAAUUAAGAAACAGCAGAAAACCGCGUGGAGUAACACCCACGCAUAUUCUUUCUUGUUCUCAGGUUCUAUAAAGAUCCGGUGAACCCCUAUUUGGUCGAACUCUCUAGAAAUCCUUUCAGAUUGGGCAGCAGCUGCUCAGAUUUCGAAGGUUGAGAUAACGCCGCUUUUCAAGAUUUCACAGCUAAAUUCAAAUCUUCUUGUUAGCCUUAGGUAGCCGUCUCAGAUCUCUCCUUCUUGCUGUUCAUCCUUUGUACAACUAACCAGGUAUGUGACGAAUUUUAGUUUUCGCCAGUUUUUCUAUCUUUGUAUCUGAUUGGAUUGAGUGUUUGUCUCUCGCUCCUAAAUGGGUUUUAAUUGUUAUUUUAUGGGUUUCUCUUAUUUUGUACUCAUUCAAUAUGCAUACGAAGAAAUUUUAGUGUUUAUGCCUAGGCCCUAGGGUUUGUUGCUGCUGUUUGAUUACUUAGUGUAGUGGCUAUACAACAAGGCUGGAUGGAUUUUGAGUAGAUGAAUUUUAGCUGGAAUAUUGAGUUCUUGAAGAUGAAAAGUAACAAGGCUGGAAAUAUUUAUAGCUAGGUGAAUUAAAUUUUCGAAGGUGGUUAUUAUGUUUCCUUUUUGGUUGUUAGAUUUAAUCGUGGCUGAAGUACAGUACUUAGUAUCCGGUUCAAAAUCUUUUUUUUUUUUUUUUAAAUUUGUGAAAAUUAGUUGCUGAGAUAUAAAGCUUCAUGUGAAUUAUGGAUUGGCUGCAGACUUCUUGGAAAAAAGGAUUGGAAGUGAAGAGACAAAUUUUAGUUGGGCAUUCAAGAUUGUGACUUUCUUAUAGUAUUAUAUUGUUAUAAGGUAAGAAACCCGACUCGGAUUUGUACAGUCUCUUUCUUUGCAUUCUUUUGUCAUGUUUAUAUAAUUUCUCUGCAUGUGUAGUAUUUUGUUUAUUACUGAGAAGCUGGAUUUGUAUUACUUUCUGCCAAAUUUCAUGAAAUUCUCUAUGAAUGUUAAAAAAAAACUGUAGUUUUUUUGGUGCCAAUGAAGCAAAUCAAUUGCUGCAGUUGUCAUGCCCUAUGUAAAUUUUGAACCUGGGAAAUGUUUGUUAAAGAGAAUCUCUUAUUUUCAUGUGUCUCAGAUGAUUGUUAUAGAGAAUCUCUUAUUUUCUUGUGUAAGAUACAGUCAACAAAAGUGUAGGACUUCAUGUGGUUGAUACUUGUUUAAUACCAAUAACAUUGAUGAUUAAAUAUUUGGCUUAAAUUAUGUACAAAUGCUUUCAACCAAUGUUGUGUUGGAAUAUACGUUGAAUUGGUUUCUGUUGUAACCCUCCAAUUCCUGUCGCUAAUAAGACUAUUAAAGCUUUCUAAGAAAAACAAUGAAAGUCUUUUUUCUGAAUGAGCUCACCAGUCUCUUUAUCAAUUAUGGUGGACCCUGCAGCUUUUUAGGGUGUGAAUUAAGUUGCCGAACAAUCUGCCAGGAAACCAGCCUCAUAAUUUGCGAAUGACAUGUUUAGGCGACUGAGUAUACAAUCUGUAUGAAUUAUUUGUUGUGUGCUCUCCAGAAAUGAUUAUGUCUUAUAGUGUCUUUUAACCCCACCUUGACGUGCUUCAGUUGAAAGGUUUUCUUGUUUCUUUCUUAAUUAUGUUUUUCUUAGUGCUCUGUUUAGAUUUUCUUUGCAAUAUACAUUGAAAGAAGUUUUUUCUUAAUAUCUGAGCUGUUCAAAAUGUAUUUAACUACCUCAUUUUGCUCCUACAAAGGGCGUUCUUCCUUUGUGCCGAGAAAACAUUGUAAUUUUUAUACCAAUUUUGCCUUCUAGAUUUCUGCACCUUCACUUCACCACGCGUUCCACUUUUAGCCUCCAAUUUUCCAUCUUAGAUGGUUCAGAAUCACUCAAAUCUUGUGUGCUGAAAAGAGAAUUCUCUGUUUGCUUCCAAAAACACCUAAAAGGUUGUGUAAGAAGAAGUUUGCACAUGGACAGCUUACUAAUUGCUUAAACCAGUAAAAUAACUUUCACUGUGCAGAAACUAGUCUUCGAUUGUAGAGUUUCUUUGAGGGGAGAAAGACAUAAAAACAAUCAAAGAUAUCUAUCAUAUAUCUGCCAGAGAAACAUACGGCUUUGCUAUGUUGUACUUCCAUUUGUCUUUUCUGAAACAAUCAAAGAUAUCUAUAAAUUUGCUUCUCAUGCUAGUUGUUGUUGAUCAUCUCUUUCUUGACUGAUUUCCUGGUGGAGGAACUAACAUUGUUUCUUUCUCUUUUUGAGAUGUACUUCUGGUCAUCAUCUCAUACCAAAAUGCAGGUAUUCAGUUGUAUUUUAUAUCAAAAUGGAUGCCAAGAAGUUUAUCCAGCUGGUCGAGGAGAAGAAGAAGCGGAUGAUGGAGAGGAAAGAAGCCCCUUUGAAAUGGGAGCAAAAAUUGGAAGCUGCAGCCAAGGCUAGAGCUGAUGCUGAAAAGGAGAGAAAGAUGAAGGCCACUAAGCACAAGAAAAGAUCUGUACCAGGUUCUGAAAGUGAUUGUAGCAGUGACAGCAGCAGUGAUGAAAGGAAGUCAGCUAAAAGGCCCCACAGGAAGCAUAGGAAGCAUAAUCACUCUGACUCAGGCGAUAAUGAGAAGAGGAGGGAUAAGAAAUCCAGACAUAAGUCGAAAAGGAGAUCCUCUGACUCUGGUGAUGAUAGCAGUGGAUGUGAUACUGAUUCACAAGAAGAGAGGAGGAGAAAGAAGCAGAGGCAGAAAAGGCGAAGGCAUCAUGAUUCAAGAUCAGAUUCUUCUGGUGCUGAUUACUCUGAUGAUGAAAGUGACAUUGAUAUGAGAAGAAGAAAUCGCAUAAAGAGUCACAAGCGCCAUCGGAGAUCUCAUUCUAGUGAUUCAGAAUCUGCAUCUGACGAUGACUAUCCAGGCAGAAAGAGAAACCGUGCAAGGCACCACAAACGUUCUAGACGAUCAGGUUCAAGUGAUUCAGAUUCAUCAAGCGAUGAUGACACUCCAAAGAGGAGCCGUCAUGCGAAACACCAUAAGCAUCAUCGUGGAACCCGUACUCAUGACUCGGUGUCCUCAGAUUCUGAAGAUCAUCGUCGUGACGGGAGUAGAUCUCUAGGGAAGUCAUCUGAUGACGAUUUUGGUAAAGUAGAAAAGCAGAAAAAGCAUCAUCAUGGACAUGGUCGUCACCACCACCAUCAUCAUCAUAACAAUCACAAUCGCAUCCACUCUGACGAAACGCCACUCAAUGAUCAGCAGGCUGGGAAAGCAACAGAAUCAAAUGGAAAAAAUACUCUGCGAGAGGCAAAUAUGGACAAUAGCCAUGAUAAAGCUGUUGAACAGCAAACUGCUUAAUGGUCCGAGUGUGCCUUCCAAUGGAUUCAUGUGCGCUGUUUCUGUGUAGGUAACUUAGGGUUUUCUGGUUGGUGUUGCUGGAGGCUUGGAAUCUGGAAUUUGUCAAAGAUUAUAUGUUGAACUGCUGCAGCAAAAACCUUUCUGAUUGACAUUUGAAUUUACUGAUUCCGUAUAAAUAUGUAACAGCUUAUCAGCAAUUUAUUCCCUCUCUUUGCUGUGUGGAACAUUUAUUUUAAC
rnacentral:lncRNA from 1 species